AAAAAAAAAAAAAAAGGCUAAGACGAGGAAUCCGGUCACAGCCAAAUCCAAGAGAAAUAGGCAUCAAAAUUCAGUAAAAAUUAUUGCGAUAAUAUGAUAGGAAACAAUUUGUACCCUUCUAGGUCUACUCGGUCCAAAUAGUAAAUUUCAUAUGGUGAGUAUGUAAUCAACAACGAAGAAUUAGGUGAAAAUGGUAAUACCACUUCGCACCAGUGGGUUCACGUUCACCGUACACGCCGCUGCUAGCUCAAUCAGUGAACUCAGGUAAUCAAUUUAACAGUAUUCUGAUACAUGGGGAAAAAAAAUUAUUGACUUAUCAAAUUAUCUAUUGAGCCAUGAAAAAAAUUCAACAAAAGAAAGAAACAAAUCCACUAUCUGUUAAGAAUCAAGAAAGGUUUGCUGCUCUUCUCUAAGUUAUCUCUACUGCCAGUUUGAACUUUGACGGGAAGGAAUUGGGGAAAGAUGAUUUCAUUUUCAUUAAUUUGGGCCUGCCUAAUUAUAUAUAUAAAAAAAAAAACACAAAAGCCCGCCCACUAACUCUAAGCUGAACUGCCCAACAGUGAACAACCCAAGUCAUCACAAAAUCACAGUCAGCCCAAAUCCUCUCUUCCUCUUCUUCUUUCUUCCUGUGCCUUUGACUGCAAAGAGAAGCUCCCUUCCUUUGGGCUAUGGCAAUUGGCGAAUUCAGCUAGGGCGGCCGCUCUAGUUUGUCACCACCUAGAUUCGCCACUGCAUAGGAUCUAUAAUUAUCAGCCGCCCUAACUCGCCACCAUCUAAAUCCGCCACUACAUUGAAUCUAUAAUUACCACUUACUUUUUAUUAACGUAUAGCCUUUGUUUGAGUGUGCUUUGAAUUUUUAUUAUUUUUUUUUGGGGAGAAUGUAUGAUUAAAAUAUGGCUCAAACAAAGGCAUAAUAGAAAAUUAGUUAAAUUAUAAUUUAAAACCUCAUAAUUUCUCAACGUGGUUAGAAAUUAGACUUUAAAAAUUCCUCUCCAUAACGAAUUAAUUUUAUAACAUAAAAUACAAUUAACAGUCAAAUUUGACCAAGUUAGCACCGUGCCGCAAGUAUUCCUCUUCGAUAUGUUGUACAUUAUGCUACAUGAGUUGAACAUUUUACUUUCUUCUUCAAAACCAUUGAAUAAGGGACCCCACGCAUCAUACCAGAAAUCGACGGUGGAGAUUAUGUGAUGCAGCUGGGAGCAUACAGGUUACGUGUAUGAGUGUAUACAUAGUAGGUCGUUCCCUUCCUGUAGUAGCAAUAAAAUAAAAAUUAACAAAAGAAAAAUAGUCUGUACUUUCUGCAAACAUUCAUUCAUUUCAUCUCUCUCUGCGACCGUUUCCUCUCACUGGAGACGACGUCGUUUUCGAUGUACCUUGGCUCGUUUUGUUGUGUGUACAGCUGAAGCGUGAGAAAGAGGAGCAAGUUUUAUUAUCGGUGUUCUGUUUGAACACGUCGGGAAAAGUGUAAAGUCAAGCGCUCUCGAUCGAUCCCUGAAAUUCCCCGAUUCUGAGGUUUUUUUAACUUAUUUUCUGCGUGAAAAACGUUGUUGGAUUUUUGAGGUUGUUUCGUGCUUUUAUAAAUGUUCGAUUGGUGCGUGUUUUGAGUUGAAGUUUGAUUUUAUUUUUUAUUUUUGAAAAAAAAUUGUUUCUGGAAGUAAAAAUAUUGAUGAUUUAUAGAGUUGAUUGACUGUAAUUAUUGGAGUGCAAAAGAAAUGAGUGGUCAAAUGAAUAACUAUGGUUUGAUUGUUUACUUUCUUUGAGCUUGUAUUGAUUAAUAUGAAUUUUAUUGAAGCUCUUAUAAUUAGGGUUUUAUUCAGUCUAAUCAACUUUUGAAGUGUUCUAUCUCUAAAUGUUCGGUUUGAGAAAACUAUAUGAACAUUUUUAUGGAUGAUUACGGGUCAGUAUCGAACUUUAUGUUUUUGUCAAUUGUGUGUAUGGCGUUGGGUGACUGGUGGGUCAUGUAGAGGAACCAUUAGACUUUUGGAAGUAAUUUUGGUUUGUGUAGCAUCUAUAUUUAUUUGUUUGUGUGCGUGGUGAUGGGUGACUGGUGGGUUGAGUGAAGGGUUCAUUAUAUUUUUUGGAAGUAAUUUUGGUUUGUGUAACAUCUUGAUUGAGACUUGAUAUAUUAUUAAUGAUUCAUUUUAUUUAUUUAUUUAUUUUUGUAGGGUUUUGGUGAGCGAGGUCCAGAGCGUCAAAAUUCUCAUGCAGAAGAUAUAAAUUUUUUGAAGUAUUUGUGCUGCUAUAACUGUUUUGCCUGAAGAAAAAUGCCGGAGGGGCCAAAAUUUACAGGAAUUAUAGGCCUACACAAUAAUCAUGACAAUUUCGAUUUCUCGCAAGAUUUUUAUCGUAAGCUCAAUGAGGGUUCUAACAUGUCCAUUGAUAGUUAUGGGAGUUUACAGAUGAGCAAUGGCGGAGGCUCCGUUGCCAUGUCAAUGGACAACAGCAGUGUUGGUUCAAAUGAUUCCCACACCCGUAUCUUGGGUCACCAAGGCCUCAAGUAUGUCAAAGACUAUUCCGUUGCGGCAAGUGUCAAUCCUGGGAGAGUCUCCCAAGGGCUGAGCGAUGAUGCCCUGGCCCAAGCUUUGAUGGACCCUCAAUACCCUACCGAUGGGCUUGGGAACUAUGACGAGUGGACAAUUGACUUGAGGAAGCUCAACAUGGGGCAAGCUUUUGCUCAGGGCGCAUUUGGGAAGCUCUAUAAGGGUACUUAUAAUGGAGAAGAUGUUGCAAUUAAGCUUUUAGAGAAGCCAGAGAAUGAUCCAGAGAGGGCACACUUGAUGGAGCAGCAGUUUCAGCAGGAGGUGAUGAUGUUGGCAAGGUUGAAGCAUCCGAACAUUGUUCGCUUUAUUGGUGCAUGCCGUAAACCCAUGGUCUGGUGUAUCGUAACUGAGUAUGCAAAGGGGGGUUCUGUGCGCCAGUUCUUAGCAAAGAGACAGAAACGAUCUGUGCCUUUAAAAUUGGCUGUAAAGCAGGCCUUGGAUGUUGCAAGGGGGAUGGAAUAUGUCCACAGAUUAAACUUGAUUCACCGAGACUUGAAGUCCGACAAUCUUCUAAUUUCAGCUGACAAGUCAAUUAAGAUUGCAGAUUUUGGGGUUGCUCGUAUUGAGGUGCAAACCGAAGGAAUGACACCAGAGACGGGGACUUAUCGAUGGAUGGCCCCGUAUGUUUCCUACUCUUCUUUUUUGCUUCUGCUGUGACUCAUAAAUUUAAUCUUUUUACUGGUCUUAAAACUUUUUACAGAAACAAAUUUUUUUCUUUUUUAAUUUUAGGAGUUUCUUUCUAAGUUAUGUUGCUACUAUUUUACCAUUGUUUCUCUGCUUUAAUUUAAUUUAAUUUAAUUUUUUUAUUUUUCUAAGUCCACAAUUUUUCAAGUUUUCUUGUUAUACACGUUCAAUUUGUUGUUCCGUCAUAUGUCCUUGUGCAGGUGAGAAUACAAAAUGAGUUGCAUAAAUUUAGAAAUGGGGUUGGUUUAGCUGUUGGAUUUAAUUAUUGUAAAAUUUCCUAACAGAAGACGGUGACAGAAAUUGAAAUAGGAACAAAUAUUUCCUCUUUACUAGUACCUGAGUAAUUUGAGUAUGACUCCAUUAUAUUGCUUUCUGCACAGUUUCUUGCUUGUUUCGUUUUUUAGCUUCUGUGCUCAUUUACAUACAAAAUAUUGAAAAGUAUGGGAGAGAUUAAUCUGCUGCAUACUAACGUUUGUCAUACUCUUGGGCAUGCUAAUAUAUGCUGUAUCAGUUCGUCUAAUAGCCUUGCACAGUUAUCUGCUAGCUAUCCUUUGCUUUCAUAAACAACACUAUAUUUCUGUGGCCCCCUUGAGAUGUAUUGAAUUGUACAGAAAAAAGACAGGUGUCUACAUAUUGCUGAUAGUUAUAUUUGGAUUUCCAAAAAGCCACAGAUAACACCUGUGUUUUGAGGUAAGAUAGCAUUGCUUACUUAGAGUAUUCCACUCAGCCAUUUAUUUUUGAGUCCCAUCUUCUGAUUGAUGGAAUUCUUCUCUACAUGUUGCCAACCUUUUAUAGUUUAAGUUUCUGUUAAGGUUCUAACUGGAGAAAUUGAGAACAAAGGGAUGGUUAUUGAUUUCUGAAAGCAAUGACAGGGAAUGUAAAGUAAAACAGAUAAACUAGACUCUCUUCUACUACUCAACUCUUGCCUGCCUAUCACUACAGUUUGCCCCUCUAUUUAUAUAUCCUUUCUAACUGCUUGCUCCCCUUCUCAGCCUGCAUUAAUAACAGAAUUCUGUUGCUACACAUUCUUCUCAAUUCUACGGGCUCUUCUAGAAUUGGAGGCCUAUCAUUAUCCCCGGGUUCCAAAAACACCUUGUCCUCAAGGUGGAAAUCAUAUUUUGUCUCAUAUUUUGCAAUUGGAUUCGAAGAUGGAAUUCGCCAGCCAUGACAUUUAAUGGCUAAGCUGGAAUUCAAUCGGCAAAUAUUGGGAGUAGGCAACUCCAUAGCCCGUUGCCCCUACCACCAAAAUUUCCCAUUUUUGAUUUAGAGAUGGGUUGUGAACUAAUUUAGGAAUUGAAGAGAGGCACUGUUUUGCAAAUUGAAGAGAAAGUCGAUGUAGUCUCUUCACAAGAAGAAAUCAGAUCUGUAUACUUACUUGGGUUUGUUUUGCUUGGGACUUGUUUCAGUCGUAAGUUUCCUUCUACAGAUCGGGCCAUCUCCGAAAUCAAGCCCACAUGUUUUUUAUUUUUUGAAGUUGAGCCCUAAGUGCCAGACCUUUGCCUUUUAUUGAUUGGACCCUCUCCAAGACCAAUCCCACAGGCUUUUGAAAAUGAAUUUUAGGCGUAAUUGUCAGCCCACUAAUAUAUUUUUCUUCCCUUUUGUUAGUCGACACCUUCAUCUUCUUCUACUUGAUUUGCUGUAGCAAUCUUUGUUUAGAAACCUCCGGUGGAGGAGAAAGUAAGAGUUCCAACAUCUUGAGUUUCCAAACAUGCUGCUAAUCACCACCAUCUCUAUUUUGAUCAGAAGCUUUUGUAAUUCCUUCGGUACCGCCACCCCGCUCCUUCUAGCCAUUUUCCUUUGUCUUGUGCUGGUUGAUCCACCAAGGGUUCCCAGUGGACGUUAGGAGGUAGCUUUCGUUCCAUAACACUUUUGGAUCUAUCUCCUUCGAAUACCUGGUCAUUGUUGUCUUGUGAAAAAUCUAGGCAACCAUAUUUUUUGGGUUUCUUCCUUGGACAGCAGUAACUUUUCCAUGCUGUGUGUGAGGAGACCUUUCCAAAUCCAGUAAGCGCUGCAUCUGACAUAUCAAUUGCUUCAUCUCCUUCUCCAUGGCUUCCACUUUGAUUUCUAUCUUCUUUUGAGCCAUCAGAAUCGGUCACUCUGAUACCAAUUGUUAAGGUUCUAAUUGGAGAAAUUAAGAACAAAGGGAUGUUUAUUGAUUUCUAAAAUCAUUUACAGGGAAAUGUAAAGCAAAACAGAUAAACUAGACUGUCUUCUACCACUCAACUGUUGCCUACCUACCCCUACGGUUUGCCCCUCUAUUUACAUAUCCUUUCCAACUGCUCUCCCCCUUCUCUGUCUGCAUUAAUAACAGUAUUCUGUUGCUACACAUUCUUCUCAAUUCUCUGGGCUUUUCUAGAAUUGGAGGCCUAUUAGUUUCAUGGUGAAAUUAUAUUUUCAAUUCCUAAAUAAACAUAUGAAUGAACUAUGCAGAGGAAUCAGAUUUAUUGGUUGGUGGACAAAUAUCAUGUCCCUUAAAUUACACUAAUCUUUCUCAAUAUCAUUAUUUAUCUGUUCUUGUUAGGGUCCCCACCCAUCCCCCAAAACACACACACACACACACACAAAAAAAAAUAAGUACGCACAAAAGAAUAAAAAGAGAGAAGCUGUUAGAUUGUUACCAUUUUUAUCUAUAUUGUUCAAUACUUCAUACGUAAACUUCUCAAAGUGAUAAGAUAAACUUAUGACUUUCAUAAUGUUUCCUAUUUGUAAAACACUUUUGCUUAUAGUGUGAGGUCCUUGAAAUAAAGAUAUGACUCUUGGGAAAUUGCUUAUAUGUGGUGAUGCCAAAUACUAGAGAUGAGAAAUUUUACUUUAGUGGGUUUCAUUUCGUUUUCCCCAGGUUAUUCUCUAUUUUUAUUUCUUUUUCUAACUCUGGUCUCAAUUACUUAGUCUCUGUUUGGUCUCCAUUAUAAAUUAAUACAUUUUUUUUUGUCAUUUUAACCACACAUUCUCUGAUAAAAUAAUAUAAUAUGUAAACUCAAAAUUUUUUCUUCUUUUUUAUAAACACGUUCUUCAGAAAAAUCACUAUUCCAGAAUACAUAAUCCCCCAAAACUCAUUAUAAUGGAUCCCAAUUAAGGGCUUAAUAAGGUUGAAUGUCUAAUUAUGUACUAGUCCCUUGAUUUAAUCAUUUGCUCAUGAACUCAGUUACUGUCUCAAGCAAGAGAAAUGAACAAUUUCAACAUUAUUUAUAGAUAUUAAUGGCAUGUUCAUUAUGGUAACUGAGCUGAAAAGGCAUGGACAUCAAAUAGUGAUAGAAAGGUUCUUUUUCAACAUAUAUUUCUUGUGGAAGAAUAUUCCAUAGUUAAAACUUGUCUCAAGCAAGAGAAAUAAACUAGUAUACAACAUUAUUUCUUGUGGAAGAAUAUUCCAUAAUAAAAAAUUGUCUCAAGCAAGAGAAAUAAACAAUUAAAUUAUUUAUAGAUAUUAAUGAUGUGUUCGUUUUCAACUUGAACAUCAUUGCUGAAUGAAACUAAUAUCAUUUAGAUCACGAUCUUCAAGGCAUCAUGACCGGGGCUGCAAUGGACCAACCUUCUAAAUAUCAAAGUCAAUUGAUCACCUUGAAUCCUUUCUACUAAUUAGAUUUUAUGCAGUUGCUAUACACCAUUGCUUCUCUCAUACCCAUGAGCCGUUGAUUUUACUUCUAUGGCUCUUCUACUCGAUUAACUUUGAUGAACCCGACCUUUCAUGCAACAGUAAAUUGGUGUUUUGCUGAAGUAUUUGUGGAUUUAUGCUUAAAAAUGAAAGGUUAGGAAAUUUCAAGAUCACCGAAUUUACGUAUAUAGUCUUCCUAGUCACUAAAUAUUUUGAGGCGAGAUGAAUACGGUGUUUUGAUGUUUGUUUCUUCUUUAAGUUUCUUGGUAUGAUUUGUCUAGAGACUUAAAAGCCAUGAUAUGGAUCUGAAACUAGAAAAUUCUCAAUUUUGAAUUACUGAACUACCUAUAUUUUUUCAGCAAACAUUACAUUUUGGCCUCACCAUAUGGUUAUAUUAGAGUUUGGAGGCUACCUAAUUUAACUAAAGGUUUAAAUGCUAAAUAGGGGAAAACAAAAGAUAUAUGGAUCGAAACUAUACUUAAUAAAUCUCCAGGAAAGUAAGAGAGAAACAAAAAGUGGAACUGAUACUAUAUGUUUUAUUCAAUGGAAGGAAUUAAUCUAGGGCAUCACCACAAUACUACUCUGCUGAUACGUAUUUCAGAAUAUAUAAAUUUUUUUUUAAGUUAUAACUGACACUUAAACUAAACUCCUAGUGGAUUGGCAUGAUCAUGUGGGUGUUUUCUGCUUACUGGAAUGUCCAGGAAACCUGCAACCUGAUAUGCAACUUCAUCUAGAUUCAUUAGCUAUCACAUACCUUGGUGAGUACGACUAUUGUUGUAGAUAUGUAGGCUUAUUGGUACAGCAAAUAUAUCUUGAAAACUAUAUAUUUGAGAAGGAUGGUUCCUGUGGGAUUGUACCUACUUGGUUCUGGUCCUAUGGGCAGAAUGGUCUUAGGAGUUUUGAAGACUUAAAAAUUAGACAAUUGUUCUUUUCUUAAUCCCAAAACGCUUCUGAUUCCACUAAAAAAAUGACGAUUCAAUGUAAACAUUAGGUUUACGUGGCUAUUGAUGGUCAGUGUGGGCAAUUCUGUUCACAGACAGUUUACUGGUGAUAACUAGAGACAGCAAGUACAAGGACUUGAAGCUUGCUUAGCCUUGAGCAAUACGAUUCUCUAUCUUGGGGUUAAGUUUACAUGGCUAUUGAUGGUCAGUGUGGACAAUUCUGUUCACUGACAGUUUACUGGUGAUAACUAGAGACAGCAAGUACAAGGACUUGAAGCUUGCUUAGCCUUGAGCAAUACGAUUCUCUAUCUUGGGGAUCUAGCAAUACUGUGUUAUUCACAUUCUUUGCUUUAUUGUGGACCCUAUUCUCAAUGUUGAAAACCUUGUUAUAUUCGUUGUUUCUCCGGAGUCUGGUUUUUUUAGGUUAGUAGAUUCUAAUGUGGCAUUGAUAGAUACCUAACCUAGAAAACUUUUUGAUUCAAGCUUCGAAAUCCAUUCGACACCCUCAUUAUCAGUUGACUCAUGCCCGAAAUAACCUUGCAACCAUGUGAAGGCGAUAUCCAACUGCAAAAUCAAUACGUCAAGAAUCUUUAAUGUGAUUUGAUGCUUUAGGCAUAGAUGUGACACAACGACCAUAAUUAUCUGCCUCUGGUUACUCAAAAAAAAUGAUGGGAAUGAAUUUAUAAUGAUGUUAAAUAAAAAACCUACUUGAAAGAUUUUGGCAGCUCGGUGGAUGUGUGAGAAGAAGCAAGUAAUAGGCCAAAAUAACAUGUUGCCUUGUAAUCAUUAUGUUACUACGCCCCAUCUUGGUUUGGAUAAAAAUUAGAUUUUAGUAGAUUUUGAUAAUAGUAGUUGAAAUAUGUGGCUGGAAAUAAAUUUGGAGGAAAAUGAGAGCCAAACAAGGGCUAAGUUUCAGCACUAAUCUAGGCAUGGAAAUUUAUUGGAAAUAUAAUAGUUGUUAUUUAGGAGGAGAAUCUCUUUAGUGGGAAACGAACUUCCAGAAACCACCUACUCAAUCAGUCUCAUGCUGAAAUAAUGACGGUAUAGCUGUCCUUCCGUUACAAUUAUCAUUUUUGUCUAUUUUCAAUUUAAUUUAAGCAAUGUUUGUUGUUCAUUGGAAACGUACAGAGUAUUAUGGUUGUUGAAAAUGUUUAUUACACAAUUGCAGGAGAAGUGUACCAGCCAGUGAUUACAGGCAAUUAGAGAUAUUGUUACAAUCUAGAUGUUAAAUGGGUGAAUGCAACAGGAAAAUGUGCUUGUAAAUUGCAGGUGUGCAUUCGAGGUCUAUAUAGGAUGGGGGCCUAAUAUACGUGUGCAAUGAUGGGGGCCCAGUAGUACUGAAGAUGGUAACAAAUGGCGGGUUAGAAUCUAAGAAAUUAGUACAAGGUGUUUGGAUGGUUAGGGCUAUUAAAUGAUGAAUUAGGAGGAGAUGGGGUGACACAGGCGUUGAAUGUGAUGUGGCAGUUUUUCCGUGUAUAAUGAGAACAGUAGUGGAUCUGAUGUUUUGCUCGUAAACAGUUGUGUGUUAUAGAGGCUUAAUUGAAAUUGUUGUCUUCUUAGUAAUAGUAAAAUUUACUGUUCAUAUUCUUUAUUUAAUGUUUCAUUAUAGGCUACUCACUGCUUGUUGCACUGAAUAUGCAGGGAAAUGAUCCAGCAUAGGCCAUACACCCAGAAAGUUGAUGUGUAUAGCUUUGGGAUUGUACUUUGGGAGCUCAUCACAGGAAUGCUUCCCUUCCAGAACAUGACUGCUGUUCAGGCAGCAUUUGCAGUUGUCAAUAAAGGUGUUCGUCCCAAUAUUCCCAAUGAUUGCCUUCCCUCUCUCAGCGAGAUCAUGACUCGAUGCUGGGACACUGAUCCUGAUGUUAGGCCUUCCUUUAGUGAGGUAGUCAGAAUGCUCGAGGUUGCAGAGACAGAGAUCAUGACUACUGUCAGAAAAGCUCGUUUCAGGUGCUGCAUGAGUCUACCGAUGACUACAGAUUGAUGACGAGAGAGGAAAUUUGAUAAGGGUAAGAACAAAGUAAAGAAUUGGAAGGGGAAGAAACUAAUUUGAUAUCAGCUUUGUGUAUGUAUCAUCAUCAGGCUUAAUUUCUUUCUUCAGAUAGAUAAAGGGAGGAAAGUUAUGACAAGAUCUGCUUGCUUUAUGUAAUUUAUUUUUAUAAGUUUCUGACUCUAAGAUCUUAGUAGGAGAGAUUUUGUGUGUAUUUAUAUGUGCCCGUUGUGUUAUAUUUAAAUGCUACCUUUUUUGGUCUUGUAUCCAUCAACAAUGGCAGGUAGAAUAUAUUUACGUCAGACUCAGCUUAUAUUCUUGAAUGUGAACUGUUUAGAUACUGCUUUGAAGAUGGUGAGUUUGGUCGGAGAUUUUCUCCACCUCGGCCGUCUGCUUUUCUAAGUACUUCUUGGAGGUCUGUCCAAUGGCAGCAAAACAUUUCAGUUCCGGACGUGAUGAUGAAUCAUGUAUAAUUUGAAUAAUGCUUUUUAGCACUACUUAGUAUACCAGUUUUUGGUGUCACGCUUUGAUAAAGUUCUAUUAAAUGAAUGAUGUGGUAUUGGAUUUAUGUGAACCUAUCAAAUUUGAUGAAAUCAUGCUAAAGUUAGCCCAUUUUUGUCAAUUUUGUCUCUCACCUGAACGUGCAAAGUAAUAGCAGCAGCACAAUGAGUGUUUCGGUCGGAAGUGAAAUGGAAGUCGGAUUCAAGAUGUCAAUAAGAUAGAAAUGUAGAUUUGAGUAUUGCACCUUAAAUCUGCUCUGUAUAAAAAAUAGGCCUGAAAAUGCUUAAAAGCAACAUCCCAACUUAGGCCCUGUUUGUGGUCCUUUAAUUUCAAAAAAUGGAGUGUGGAAUAGUGAUUGAUGUUGAAAUGUGGUUAAAAAAGAAGGAAAUUUUUUUGAUGUAUGUGUAAUAUUAUUUUAAUGAAAAAUGUGUUGUUAAAAAUGAGUACUGUAGAAAAAAUAAUGUGNNNNNNNNNNNNNNNNNNNNNNNNNNNNNNNNNNNNNNNNNNNNNNNNNNNNNNNNNNNNNNNNNNNNNNNNNNNNNNNNNNNNNNNNNNNNNNNNNNNNNNNNNNNNNNNNNNNNNNNNNNNNNNNNNNNNNNNNNNNNNNNNNNNNNNNNNNNNNNNNNNNNNNNNNNNNNNNNNNNNNNNNNNNNNNNNNNNNNNNNNNNNNNNNNNNNNNNNNNNNNNNNNNNNNNNNNNNNNNNNNNNNNNNNNNNNNNNNNNNNNNNNNNNNNNNNNNNNNNNNNNNNNNNNNNNNNNNNNNNNNNNNNNNNNNNNNNNNNNNNNNNNNNNNNNNNNNNNNNNNNNNNNNNNNNNNNNNNNNNNNNNNNNNNNNNNNNNNNNNNNNNNNNNNNNNNNNNNNNNNNNNNNNNNNNNNNNNNNNNNNNNNNNNNNNNNNNNNNNNNNNNNNNNNNNNNNNNNNNNNNNNNNNNNNNNNNNNNNNNNNNNNNNNNNNNNNNNNNNNNNNNNNNNNNNNNNNNNNNNNNNNNNNNNNNNNNNNNNNNNNNNNNNNNNNNNNNNNNNNNNNNNNNNNNNNNNNNNNNNNNNNNNNNNNNNNNNNNNNNNNNNNNNNNNNNNNNNNNNNNNNNNNNNNNNNNNNNNNNNNNNNNNNNNNNNNNNNNNNNNNNNNNNNNNNNNNNNNNNNNNNNNNNNNNNNNNNNNNNNNNNNNNNNNNNNNNNNNNNNNNNNNNNNNNNNNNNNNNNNNNNNNNNNNNNNNNNNNNNNNNNNNNNNNNNNNNNNNNNNNNNNNNNNNNNNNNNNNNNNNNNNNNNNNNNNNNNNNNNNNNNNNNNNNNNNNNNNNNNNNNNNNNNNNNNNNNNNNNNNNNNNNNNNNNNNNNNNNNNNNNNNNNNNNNNNNNNNNNNNNNNNNNNNNNNNNNNNNNNNNNNNNNNNNNNNNNNNNNNNNNNNNNNNNNNNNNNNNNNNNNNNNNNNNNNNNNNNNNNNNNNNNNNNNNNNNNNNNNNNNNNNNNNNNNNNNNNNNNNNNNNNNNNNNNNNNNNNNNNNNNNNNNNNNNNNNNNNNNNNNNNNNNNNNNNNNNNNNNNNNNNNNNNNNNNNNNNNNNNNNNNNNNNNNNAAAUUAACCCGAAGGUUAAAAUAUCAUUUUAACUGAUUUUUUAAAUGGAAAAAGUUUUGGAUCCAUCAUCAAAUCUCCAAGAAUUAUGCAGGAAAUUCUGCUUUGUAUAAAAUUAAAAAGAUUGUCCCUAAUUUAACUUUCGAACCGAUUCCAGAGAAAUCUUAACAAGCUUUAUCCAAUCAAAAAAAUAAUAAUAAUAAUAAAUCUUAAAAGAUGAAAGAAGGCUCAGAUCUGUUGUUCGAUCGACGGAGAGGUUCGCCCCCGCCAUGGCUGCAAAAUUACCGGUUGCAUAUGAAUAGAAAAUCCAAUUUCACAUACCAUCCGGAUUGCCACGCCAAGAUACGGGUCGAUUUAUCUCAAUAGCCGAUCAAUGUGCUUGGAAGAAUCAUGAAAUAUCGUCACAGCCUUGGGGAUUGAUUGAAAUAGUAAAAGUACUACACCACCAUCAUCACCACCACCACCACCUUCACAAAAUCACAGUACCGUAAGGCCUGUUUGGCUAAGCUUAUAAUCUUCUUGGAUCUUGACAACAUUGAGCUGUUGAAAAGAAAUCAAGAACCAGCAAUGGAUUUGUUUCGUUUUAUUUUUAUUUUUAUUUUUCUAUGAAGGGCUGUCGAUUUGUAUAUUUUAAAAAUGGAGAAAAAUCAUCGGCUGUACAGAGAGGGGCAACCACCCUUAAAGAAUUCCCAUUCUCUCUGCGUGCCUCAUUCAUCCCUCCCAAGCUGCCAACUAACCCUAGUUUUUGCUUUCUCUCUUCUUUUAUACUAGCCCAACAUUCCUAUUUAACCCUUAUUUGAGGGCCAUUUUACCUAUUUUGACUACGUUUGGGACCUCUUGCAAAAGGGUAUACUGGUAAUAUAACACUCAACCCCAGGGCAUGUUUGACUACCAACUAAAUACAUUAGUUAAAGGCCCACAGGCAUAGUUCAGUGGUGCAAAGGAUAGGAGUCAAGUUCUCUCAUGUCUUGCUGGCAGCUGCAGUGUGGGAGUUCAAUUCUUGAGACAUGUAAUUAGACUCCUUGUAGGUGCAGUGUACAAGCAGCUCUUGUUCCCUAAUCUGCUGGAGCUCAUUUCGCAAUUUAUCUCCCUCACAAAAUUAUAGAGACGGGGUGAUGGGGGUUCUCAAGAUUGGGGUUCAACCUUUUUUUUUAAACAUUAGUUAAAGAGUUUUUACUGGGGCUAGUGAAUAAAUUAUUAAUUGAGAGUUUGGUUAUCAUAUUUUAAUUACACUUAAACUUUUUAAUCUUUGUUCGUUAUAGAAAUUAUUUUCUUAAAAUUUUUUGUCUAACACUUAUUUUCGACCUUCCAUUAAUCAGUACAUCUUAUUCUUGAUGAUGAUUUAUAUUAAAAUAUUUUAUUUCAAUACUUUGAAAUGAGGGAAAAUAAUUUUUCAUACUUAUUCAUUUAUUUAUUUUUUAAAAUAUGAGGAGAAAAUAAGUUAUUAUAGGCUUUUACAUCGGACUUUUUGGACAAAUUGUUAUCAAAUACUAAAUAUGUUAUCUAAUGGAAAGUUUGAAUAUAAGAAGCCACGAAAAAUCAUUAAACAUAAAAUGUUAUAAUGAGUAAAGAUUGAAUUGAAAACCAUAAGUGUAAUUAAAAUAUGGCAUAUGAAAUAAAAAAUACACUGAAUAUAAUUAAUAAUAAAUCGAGAUGUGGGUUACACAACCGCCCACCAUUGCAACUCAAUUAACUUCGAAAUUAGUGUUUAUAUCUUUAAAUUAUUUCCUUCGUUCCUCGAAAAUAGAUUUACUUUCUAUCGUUUGUUCCAAAUUUUAAAUCACUUUCAUUAUUGAAUUUAUAACCUUAUUUAAAGUGUUUUAUUAGCAGCUAAUAUAAAUUACUCAUAUUUAAAUCAUUUUAUAUAUAUAUAUUUCAACUACAUUUAUUAUAUAAUUUUUAAUAUGUGUGGAAAUGAAAUAAGCCUAUCUUAAUAAAGUAUUGCUAAUUAACACUAAUCUAAGUGACAAUACUGGUGUUAUUAAAUUAAAAAUUCAAUUAAAUACAAGAAAUUAUAACUCAAUAAGACAUAUUGAUACGAACUCAUGUAACAAUUGUAGCUUUCGAUGGAUUAGAUCAAAUCCAAAAAAGUCAAGAAUCAACGUUUAAAAUGCUUGACCCAAUAAAUUAUUGAAUCAAAGAACCAAGACAAUCGCAAAUAAUAUUUUGAUUUUGUGAUUUCAAAACUUACGAACCUUAAUUGAAUUAAUGAACGCCAUAAGAAUUUAAUUCUUGAAAAGUUCAAAAAUUAAUUCAAUAAAAAACGAGUUGAAAACAAUAUGCAAUAGAAAUAAUAUCUCUCAAAAUUGUGUAUUUUAUAAUGAAGAGAACGAGUCUUAUUUGUAGGGAACUCAUAAAAACCUAAUUAAAAACGGAAUUAAGAAUAAAAUAUAUCAAAGAGAUAUUAUAAAAAGAAUUUUAACUAAAAUAGAAGUUCGGGACAAAUUUGGAAAAUUGCAUCUCAAUUUUCUACUAAACGGUCGCAUAGGAUUACGUCUUGAGGUUGCAUAGAUCAUUUGAAAUUGCUCAUCUUGGUUACGAUAUGGGUUUUUAUAGCCGCAUCUAGGUUUAUGCUAUACAGUCGCAUAGUAGUCCAUCUUGUCUUCAAGUCUGAGUUAUUGAUUCAAAUGCGUUCCAACUUGUUUCCGCUCUCAUGCCUAAUAUUAAACUUGAUCUUAGGCUUGUUAACUUCACCUUUUUGGAUUCCGUAGUUUGGACACAUAAUUGCAUGGCUUAAUUGACUCUAUUUGAUCUUGAACUUAUCCUUAGCCUCUCCUCAAGAAUUGUUGAUAGCUGGUUGACUUUUUUGGAUUCCAUUACUUAUGAUACACUGACGUUUAAAUUAAUAUUCAAUCACUGAUGGUUGAUAAUAUUAUUCAAUCACUGAUGGUUGAUAAUAUUAUUCAGCUUUAUGGGAUGGGGGAAUGUAAAUUUUAUUUGGCUUUGGAAUUUAGAAUAUUCACUUGAGGGACACAAGAAAUUGACUAGUCUCCUUAAAACUAAUUUUGAAAUUUUUUACUUAAUUUUCAUGAACGGAUUUUCUUCCUCUUAACCCCACCUAUAAAAUAAUCUAGAAGAAAUUGGAACAGUGAAAGAAAUUGAGGCUUAGGUCUAUGUCUUAUAAUCAGACGACGAGAAUAUAACCCCGCCAUGGUAGCAAAAUCACUGGUUGCCUGUGAAAAUCUCAGAAUCACAUGCAUUCGAGUUGUCCAGCCAAAAUACGGGUCAUAUAGUCUCAAAGCCCAAUUCAUCAGCUCAGAAGAAUCCAGAAUCAUCGUCAUAGCACUAUCGAUUCAUAAAGAACAAUGCUACUUGUAUAUGGAGGAAUCUAUUCGUCAACAGGCAAACAUUAAUUGUUGUUUCUUGAUUUCAAGGGCUGUUGGUUUAUGGGGGGAAAUCAUUGACUUAACGGAGAGGGGUAACCACCCUUAAAAGAAUUCCCAAUCUCUCUGCUAACCUCAUUCAUCUUUCCUUCCAAGCUGAUAACCCUAAAUUUAGCUUCGGGUCUUCAAUUAUAGUACCCCGAAUGUUCCUAUUUUACCUCAGGACUGACCCUGAAAAUUUUGAGGCCUUAAGAGACUAAUUAUAUAUGAGACCAUUAAACUUAAUUUUCUUUAAUAAGAGUAGCAAUACUUACAAAAAGGGACAGAAUAUUCACAUGAGCAAAUUAAGACCAUUUGUCAAUGGCUAAAAAAGAAUCUUCAUUUGAAAAUACUAAAACCUAGUUAAUCAAACAAUGUCUCAAUUAUUCGUUUCAGUCAGAAUACGCCAAUCAAUUAGAACUUCCUAUAUGCAAUUUUAGGCACAGUUCUGACUAUGACAGAUUAACAGAUUUGUAUUCUAUAAUAUAUAAUCUAUUGCAUAAAUAAAUAAAGAUGAACAACAUAUAUAGCUUAGUUAACCUCCAAAUGAAGCAUAUGCAUGUCCUAUGUCACGAGUAAAAUAAUCCACAAUCAAAGAAAAAAAAAAAUUUCAAUUUAGUAAUUUAAGUAAGCCAAUAAAUAAAUAAUAAGUAAAUAUAUGAAAUAUAUUUUACGUACACGAUUAAAUAUUGAUUUUUCCGUCAACGAUAUUGAUCUCUACUCAACUACUUACAGGAUCAAAAUCCCAAUAGGAAGCCAAUUUCAACUAUACUUAAGGUAUGUCUUUAGUGCAGUAGUUUCACUAGAAAAGAGCUCCACUGUCUUCAAUCUUCAAGAUCUGGGACAUUAACAACCAAACAAUCCCUUGGGCUCACAUGAAGACAGAGAAAACUGGGUAGAAACAACAGCCAAACAAUCCCUUGGAGUCUCAAUUUUCUUCCUUCUUGGCAUACUCUUGUGACGACAGUGGUCUUAUCUAUCCUGGGAUCCUUUGGUGGCUGCAAUUCCCUAGUUAAAAUCCAUUGGUUUCUUUUUAGGCUUUGGUGCCAAUUGUAAAUAGACGUGGGCUGAAUUUUUCUUAUGAGGGCCCCAAAAAAUUAGAGGCCCUAGACCAUGGCCUAGUUGGCAUUAGGUUAGGGCCGGCCUCGUUUUACCCCUUCUUGUAGAACACUUAUGAUGGCUCGCUAAAUGAAACAUUUAAUACUUUAUUAAAGGGUCUUUAAAUUAACAUAAAAUUGCAGUUGAGGUCCCCAAACCUUUCAAACAGUGACAGACUUUUCCCAAACCUUUCAAUCAUUGCAACUGUUAUCCCAAACCUUUCAAAUCGUAACAACAAAGUCUCAGUAGGCCACAUUUCACUCAAUUUUACUCAAUUUUAAAAUAGUAAAUUAGUAAUUAAAUAUUUUUCCAUAAAAUAAUUAAAAACUGAAAUUAAAAGAAAAAAAAAAGAAGAAGAUGAAAAACAUUCUUCUUCUCCCUCACUUCACUUCACCCCACCCCCACCUCCAAUCUCUUAACCCAAAACUAGAAAUCCGCCAUACCAUCGCUAUCGACCGCCACCGUCAUCUCCUUCUACUGUCGCUAUUGCCGUCGCCACCACAUAAGGAAUGAUUCGAAGCUUGUCCUCAACCACAAUUUAUUUUUUUCUUUUGCUUAUGGAUUUAUAUUACUAUCUUCGCACCUUCCUCUUAAUCUCUCUCGAUCGAAUGUAGGUUUUGGGUUUUGAACGCACUCUCUCUUUAGACAGCAUCAAUUGCUGCUGGAGCAUCAAGGCCUUGGCCGUGCCGCUACUGAUAUGGUUUGCCUUAGCUUUAAAACCAACUUCGCUGAUUGGUCUUCAAAUUGGCUAAGCAAUGUUGACGACAACAUGUGGUCGUCUCAAGCCAUGAUGGAAGACACAUCCUAGUUAAAACUUGGGUCGAAGAUGGAACAUCCAAUAGCAUUUAGUCGAGGAAAUCAUCAUAAGACGACGUCAGAUCAAAGUGGGAUGACAUAUGAGGUUGACCAUUUUGAUGAUUAUCUAUUUUUUGGAGUGAUUGUUCUUGGUUUAACAAGGAAUUGAUGUUCAUGGGUUCCAAUUCUCUACCACCAACAUAAUCUACAAAUGUCUUGAUUUGUGGAGAGAGAGUUGGUGGUGAUCGAUUUUGGGUUUGGUAAGAAGAGGGCGUGGAAGAUUUUAAUUACUUGAUUUGGUUAUGUUCGUGGCGAUGGUGAUCGAUGGUAGUGGUGGCGGUGCUCAAUGGAGAUGGCGAUGGUAGUUGAUGGCGGUAGGUGUGACGAUGGCAAAUUUCUAGUUUUGGGUUGAGGGGUUUUGGGUAGGAUAAGGGUUGAUGAAAAAGAUAGUUUUUCAUAGUUUUUCCUUUAUUAUUUUUAUCUUUUGUUUUUGAUCAAGUGUUUAAUUAUUUUAUGGGAAAAAUAUUAAAUUACUAUUUUGUCUUAUUAAAAUUGAGUAAAAUGUGGUCAAAUUUAAUUUUUUGGAUCAAUUAAUGACAGGUUGGAUGGAAGUCGUCCAUUGGAGCCUCAGCUGCUACGAUUUAAAAGAUUUGAAGUAAUGGUUGUAACUAUUGAAAUGUUAGAAAAAAGCUUGUCACUAUUUGAAAGGUUUGGAGUCUCAACUGUAAUUAUUCCUAAAAUUAAUGUUAUUUAGUCUCAUUGGAAUUGCAACGUCAAUUUAGGUAACUCUAAAUAAUUUGCUAAAUUAAAGGUGAAACGUAAAUUGAGAUUGCAAUCCUAAUGGAGUUAAAUAAUAUUACUCAACAAAGUAUUAGAAAGAAUUUUUUUUUAAUUUAAGAGCAUGUUAGAAAUAUGUGAUAAAACAUAAUUUUUACUCAUAUAUUUCGUAGGAUGAACAAUUAAUAUUAAUUUUAUUAUUUAAACAAACUCAAGGUGUAUAAUAAACGAUAGUUUAAUGUUUUUGGAAUAAGCCUCUGGAAAAACAUGGUCCGUGUGGCCCUGUUUGAGAAUACAAUCGUGCUACAUAUAAAAUUUAUUUGAUAUCAUUUUUUACAUUAUAUGAGUGGAUAGUUUUAAAAUGAAACACACUUUCUCGCCCGUUUCAAUUUGAAAAUCAAUGAAGUGUCAAUUAUUAUGUAAACAAAAGAAUGUACAAACAGCUUAUUUCUUGAGAAGAAUAAUUCUAGAUUCAAACUCUUUCUCUUUCUAACUUCCAAUAAAUCUUGGCCAAAUGUUAUUUCUUAACCUAUUCUGUAAAUGUAGCAUUGUCCAACGGUAAAAAUAACAGUGAUUUAAUUAUCUUAAAAGUUUUUCUUGUUGCAUUAUUGAAUAUUUUUUAUGACAUUAGAAGCUGAAAUUCAAAAUUUUAUGAUUUUUAUUGGGUACCGUUAUUUACAUCUACAAUUUUUAUAUAUACAUCCCACUUCAUAUACAUCCCUAUUAAAAUUUUAAAAAUUUUAAAAAUUACUAUUUUCAUUAACGUCAAAUUCCAAUAUUAUCCUUAUUAAAUUUAUUCAAUUGAACAUUAUAGAUGCAUACAAAUCUUAUAUAUUCAUCCACUAUAAAAUACUGUCCUAAUACAAUUUUGAAAAUCACUGUAUCUAUUAAAUCAUUACUAAUAUUUAAUCUGGUUCUUAUUUUUUAUUUUUUAUAUUGUCAUAUUGGUACUUUGAUAUUUAGUUAUAAAUGUUAGCAAAUCUCUUUUCUUAAAUUUAUAUGAUUCUCUUAAGCGUGUACUGUGCAACCAAACAAAACCCUCCUCGAAUCAUAUAUUACUAAAUUAUUUGUGCUCAUAAUUUUGGCUGGUUGUGUUUUGAUUGAUAAUUUUAAUUUUAUUUCUUUUUAUAAUAUAAGAAUAUUUGAACAGGUAUUGAAACAUAUUUUAAAAUUUUUCUUAUAUUUUCAUUCUUCAAAUCAAUUCUUAAAAAAUGCAUAAAAAAUAGGAUUCAAGUUUUCAUAUCAAGAAUGAAUUAUAACUCAAAUAAUGUGUUUAUUUUUUUAUUUUCAUUGAAGAUGACAUUUUAUAUAUGAUUAUUAAAAUUUUAGUUAAAAACAUACUUUAAAAAAAUAUAAAAAAAUUUUAUGAAAAAGAAAGAAGAUAAAUUUAGAACAAUAUAUUUUUAUUUAACUUUAUAUAUUUUUAUUUAGAUAAAUUUACAUGUAAUAAAAAAUAUAAUAUAAUUAUCUUUUUAAAAGUGAGAGUAUAUAUAAAUAUUGUGAAUAUAAACAUCGAUACCCCUUUUGUUAUCUUAUUUUUUCUCAUAAUUCGACAAACCACUUAAAUUAAUAGAAAAUAUUCUAAAAUCACUACCAAACGGGAAAGAAAAUUGAGGCUCAGAUCUGUUUUCAAGUCAGGCAAGAGGGACGGUAACGCCAUGGCUGCAAAAUCACCGAUUGCGUGUGAGAGAAAAGGGGGGAAACCCGACCCACAUGCCAUCCGGGUUGCCCCGCCAAGAUACGAAUCGUCUCCCUGCCCAAUUCAUCAGCUCAGAGGAAUAAAGACGAUUAUCAUCACAGCCUCUUAAAACACUUUUUAGCUUUGCCAAACAAGUACUUAGUAAAGGUUGAACCCCAAGUUCUUAGUAAUAUGAAAGGUCCGAGUUUCGAUAACCAGCAGAAGAAACAGAAUAUUCCCCAGUCUCUCUCUUUCUUUCUGUAAGUAGUGUAUAUAUAGUUGAUACAUACACAUACAAGAUCAAGGGUUGUUGGUUUUGGUUUAAAAGAGGAAAUCAUAAGGCAAAUGGGAGAGGCAACCACCCUUCAGAAAUUCCUAACCUCCCUCUGCCCUCAUUCUUUCCAUCUGAGCUCUUAACCCUAAUUUCGUCGGUCAAGCUACCUAUUUAUAUUGUACUCAAUUUCCUCUUUUACCCUCGUUUCCCUGCCUUUUAACCGUUUUUGACUUCAUGUGGCUUGAGAAUUUCAAGGGCUCUAUGGCAAUUCUAGUAUGAUUAUUGGUAUUUGGUACAACUCUAGAACCAACAGGUACAAAGAAAGUAAUUUUUCCCUGGCAUAUUUCAAAUAGAAAACUAAUGGAAAAUUAUUAGUAUUUGAAAAUUUAAGGAAAGCCAAGAGAUAUAGGCCUUGUUUGAGCCCUAUUAUUUUCUCGUUAAAAUAAAAAAAUGUGAUCGUUAUCCAUCGCAUUAAGUCAUUAUAUUUGACUUUUUAUUUUUUGUGUGGUACCUAUAACGACAAUAUUUUUCAUUCUCAUUUCUACGAGCUCAAACGGGGGCUAAAUUCGAUGGGAUAAUAUAUAAAUUACGAGAAAAAAAAAGCAUUAUAUAUAUAUAUAUAAGACAUGCAUAAUGUUUGAUUGUGUUUAAAAGUUUUAAAGAUGAACAAAGUCAUCUCGACUAUGACAUCAAGAUUUAACAAACUGUAACACAUCAGAAACCAAGUGCACAAUCUUAACGGGAGCAGUAGUAUCCAAAACAAGUUUCGGCACCUUCUCCACAUCGUAAUCCCAACACCUAUCAUAACUCUCCAGGAGUUUCUCCAUCUCUUGCCAUGUUUUUGGCUUGUGCCACCCCGAGCCAUUAUCGUUCUCUCCCCUCGCCUCAAUCCGCCUUCGCCACUCCGCCUCAUCCCCCGGCUUGCACUCCACAAUAACAAGCCGAGCAUCAUUUUCCUUUGCCAUGUCCAACAACCUAUCGAGAUGGGCCCGACGAGAGAGCGGAGAGUCGAUGACAACGCUUAAUCCCAAGUCGAGUUGAGUUGAGACCACGUUCCACAUGACUUCAUAUGAUAGGUCGUUGAGAAGUUUAGUUGCUUUGGAGGGUGUGGAUGGCAAAAGGGUUUGCUCGAGUGUGUGUGUAGAGUCUCGAAAAUGGUCUUUAUCUAUAAGAGGGCACUUGAGGGUCCUGGCUAUGGCGUGAGCCAGAGUGCUUUUACCUGUCCCUGGAUGCCCUUUCAUGGCUAUGAUAAUUGGCCUCUCUUUCACUAAAUUAAUCUCUUCCUCCUCCAUAAGAUGGAUCGAUGAACAGAAACUCUAUACUGCCGGCUCUGUUGAAGAUGUCAAUCCGCCUUCGCCACUCCGCCUCAUCCCCCGGCUUGCACUCCACAAUAACAAGCCGAGCAUCAUUUUCCUUUGCCAUGUCCAACAACCUAUCGAGAUGGGCCCGACGAGAGAGCGGAGAGUCGAUGACAACGCUUAAUCCCAAGUCGAGUUGAGUUGAGACCACGUUCCACAUGACUUCAUAUGAUAGGUCGUUGAGAAGUUUAGUUGCUUUGGAGGGUGUGGAUGGCAAAAGGGUUUGCUCGAGUGUGUGUGUAGAGUCUCGAAAAUGGUCUUUAUCUAUAAGAGGGCACUUGAGGGUCCUGGCUAUGGCGUGAGCCAGAGUGCUUUUACCUGUCCCUGGAUGCCCUUUCAUGGCUAUGAUAAUUGGCCUCUCUUUCACUAAAUUAAUCUCUUCCUCCUCCAUAAGAUGGAUCGAUGAACAGAAACUCUAUACUGCCGGCUCUGUUGAAGAUGUCAAUGAUUUGUAAGGCUUAUCCAUGACAAUUGCUUAAUUGAUAAUAAUAUAUUCAAGUGAUUGAUUUAUAAUUUUAUAUACAAUAGCUAGGUCACUUUCAAAGAUCAUAUGUGCCGUUUUUAUAGAAAACUUCAACACGCAACUCUCGAUCGGACGUUUCAUGAAUUUUCUACCUCAACCAAUAUUUCUAAUUUUCAAGAAAGUGGCUUGAUUAUAAAUUUUUAUGAUGCUUAAUUGUCCAUUCCGUGAAUUAAUAAGUAUAUCUUCAACAAUGCUCUUCAUUUUAAAAAAGCAUAUUUUUAAAUAUACAAAUAAUCUUAGCCCUUGCUUGAGCCCCACUUUGAAGAAAAAAAUGUAUUUUGAAAUAGUUUCUUUUGAAUAAUAUAUGAUUAAAAAAUAAAACAAUAAAAAAUCACGUGAAAUCGUUUUAAUGGAAGCUAAACCCCCCUCUCCUAGUCCCUCUGUUCAAAGAUGAAAGAUUCCCCCUCUCCUUCCUGACUUUUAGUAAGAGAUGUUCCCGCAUCCAACCAAGUCUUUGACCAGGGAACGGGAGAAUUCCCACUACCGCUGCUGGCCGGCGGCCGCUCAACUGUUCGAGCGCAAUGCUUGGUUCCGAUUCGACAAAUGCGUGUUUGAAAGUGAAUUUUUUAUAAAAUGUAACUAAAACCAAGAUUUAAAGAGCCAAUUCAAAAGAAUAAUAUUAUUUAUAGUGUUAGAACAUCAUUUUAAAUUACCACACUUAAUAAGUUCAAUUAAAUAAAUCAUAUGACAUUUCAUUUAAAUAUGAGUUGAAUUCUCAUUUUCUUAAAAUAUAUUCUUCAAAAUAAAUAUGACUCAAACACACCCUAUCAUUAUUUGAAUUUUCUUAAGUAAAUUUUCUCAAUAUGUGUAAAAAAUGAAAUGGGACUAUCAUUUUUUAACAACAUAUUGCUCAAUUGGAAAUGCUCUACAAAUGUCAUACUAUUUCAUUUCAAUUGGAUUAAUCUGCUCUACCUAGUCCCUUUCUAUUAGGCCUUUUACAAGCUUCACACAAGAUGUGGGUUCCAUGCGGGAUCGACCUUAUUAAAAAAUCAUCCCAUAAAUACCCCACCCCCCAUGUAUGUGAGUACCCGUAAAGGCCUUGUAAUUUCCAAGCCUGUAGGGGUAGUACUUCCCAUUUCUAUUAGGAUAUGUUUGAUUGCAAAAAUGAAAUUUUUGUGGAAAGAAAAUGAAUUUUAAAGAAUUGAAUUACCUAGAAAUUGUUUUCUUAAAAAUUGUAAAUAUUGUGUUUGAUUGGUAUAAUUUUUCACAUGAAAAAUGUUGAAAUGAAAAUUCUUUUUUAUUUUUGUUUGACUUUAUUUUACAUAAAAAUUGUCAAUUAAAGGGAAAGAUUUUACUGAUAUUAGAAAUGAAAUUUGUUUCCUUCCCAAAAAAAAAAUAAUAAUAAUAAUAAAAAAUAAAAAAUCCAUCUAUCUUUUAAUGUUCGUUUGAUUUUAUUUUACAUGAAAAUUACCAAUUAAAGAAACAUUUUUUUACAAUAAUUUUUAGAAUUUUUUUUCAUUAUAAAAAAAAAGGAAAAAAAAAUGGUAGAUCAACCUAAAAAACCAAUUCCCACCAUGGAAAAAAUUUGCUAUUAAACAUAACAAAAUGUGAAAGUUGAAAAACAAAUUCCAUUUUUCAUGGAAUUGGGUGCCUAUCAAACAGGCCUUAGCGUUCUUAGUUUAAAGUGUUCCAAGCUCCAAUGUGCAAUUUAGAACUCCCAAGCCACCAUUAUCGUCGACAUAAGAGCCCAUCGGCUUAAAACAGAUCAAGUUGCGUAGAUAAUGGCAAGCCGUUAAUGGAACGUCUUAAAAAUACUGGAUAUUCUAGUUAACAAAGAAUGUGGACUACAUCGUUCCAUCAUCAAUAACAAUUGUUUUUGUAUAUAAUCAAGCAAAGGAUUUAUCUGUAGGAGAGCUAAAAAAAAGGUUGAACCCCAACCUUGAGAACCCCACCGUCCCGCCCCUAGAACAUCGUGAGAGAGAUAAAUCGCGCGAUGUGCCUCAACAGGUCAGGGAACAAGAGCUUACCUUUACAUUGAUACCCACAAAGAGUCCAAUUUCAUAUCGCAGGAAUCAAACUCUCACACUACGACUGCCAACAAGACUGAAACUACCUCACUCCUAUUCUUUGCACUACUAAAAUAUGUCCCGAGAGACUAUAUGCAGCAAUGCUCUUCAUUUUAAAAAGUAUAUUUUUCAAAAACUAAUAGUAAAUUAUUAAUGGAAUUAGUAAAGAAUUUGAAAAUUGAUUUCAAGUAGGCAAAUUAUUGAGAAAUAUGCAUGCAUUUGGAUGAUUUCAAGUAGACAAAUUAAGUAGAAAAAAUAGAUUGUAACUACACAAAUUAAAUAUUGGUGCACUAACAAGAACAUAUUUUUAAACAAUCAUGAUAUAUGUCCAUGACAACUUACAAAUUUGUUUUUCGACAAAUGAUUUGAUGAAAUUCAAUUGUGUCAAAAUUUCAUCAACCAAAAAAAAUUAAAUAAAUAAAAAAAUACUUUCACCAAAUAUUUUCCAGGAAUAUUCUCAUAAUAAUAAUGUUAUUCAACACCAAUCAUGUUAGAGCACCAAUCACACUUGACAAUUUCAAUUAAUGAAUCAUGUAAUAUUGCACUUAAGCAAACAUAUAUUAAUGUCAUGCAAUUACCAUCUAAAUUGGUGUACGCUUCUACUUGAUAGAGAACACAAAGUAACAAUGUUCAUAAUCAAGAACAAUAAUGCAAGUGAAUUAUGCCAUGCAUUAGACAAACGAUACUAACAUUUGAGAUUAAACAAAAGAAAUAUAUGGCUCUAAUGAACAAAAUUUCAUAUUAACCAUCUAAUGUGGUUGUACCAACAAAUGUAACAAAAUUGCAUUCUCGAACAUUCUCCAAAAUACUCAAUUGCAUAUCUAUCCUCCAUGUAAAAGCUAAAACAAUUACAAUCACAAUUACAAUUGUAAAAACAGGUAAAGGACAAAAAAAUAUAAUGUGGAGCAAAGGAUGAGGACACAGAUAUCAAAUCAUCAGGAAAGCAAAUAUUGAUAUAGGAAAAACAGAGUAAAUGAAUAGGGCUCAUACGAUGAUUAGAUAGCCCUAGCAUGAGAGUUGGAACUAGACUUAGAUACAUAUUGUCUAAUUUCAUCAACCUUUUGACACAAAUUUUGUUAGAGAAAAUUCCAAGAAUAACUGCAAUCCUCUUGAACAUUUUAAAACUGGUAUAGCUUUAAUAGAAUGGCAUACUAGAAAAUAUAUCCUCCAAUCAUGAUCUACAUUUACUGGGAAGGUUUACAAAUCACUCCAAAAUGAAGUUCAAAUUUUCUCCUUUUCCUUCAAAAUAAAAAUCAAAUUUGAGAUUAACCGUCCCCAAAACCAAUAAGUUUUAUCAAGAAAAUAUAUCCUCCACAAAAUGCAAGUUCAAUAAAAAUUCCGUAAUCCAAGAAAAGUAUCAUAUCCAUUUUGUAUCAUUUUGGCAGCAUGGCCGAAAUCCAGUUCAUAUAAUGUCUUUUUCGGGAGCUAGAGGAAAUGCAUCUCAGGUACAUCAAUUAGCCCAUGGUCUACAUUUACUGGGGAAGGUUUACAAAUCACUCCAUAAUGAAGUUCAAAUUUUACCGUCUUCCUUCCAAAUAAAAAUCAAAUUUGAGACUUAAACCGUCCCCCAAAACCAAUAAAUUUUAUCUUUUAUUCGACUCUUAAGCUGAUCAUGUGGUUAUACACACACACACAUGACAAGAUAUAAUAUAACUUGGUUUGAUAAAAAUUUUAGUUCACUCGAAGAAAUCCCAGAUCAGAGACAAAUUCAAAAAACAUAGUCCUUUACUCAGCAACAAUGAAACUCAAUCCACAGAUUUCUUCAACAACGGUUGUUCAAUUCUUGACCAGGCCUACAGGUAGCAGUUAACAAAUCACAGUCAAAACCACCGAAAUAGCAAGAAGAGAAAUAAGAUAGCUGCAGAAAUAAAAAGAACUACACCGCUCGUUCCUCCAGUCAUUGAAGACCAAGUUUUUGUCUAAUUUCCAACAAGAAAUUACAUGCCAUCACCUUGACAGAGAAAAACUAAGACAACUCAACAACUAAAAAUGGUAGAAAGCAACAACAUACAAAUAAGAAGCAAAUGUCAUAAUAUAGAAAUGCAAAAGGAUGCAAUCCUUUAGCAAUCAACAAAAUCAAAGCAGAAACCAGCAUAUCAAUUGGAAACAGAAUAAUUCCAAUCCCUGGAAUCAUAUCAAGAGAAAUACCAACAGCUUUAUGGUGAAUAAAGCUCAAGAACGAGUAAAAGUAUUAUAGAAAAGCCAAUAAUGACAUUGGCAGAUUGUCCACACCAGUCUCUAACUAGAAAUUCGUGGUCCUCAAUAAGGCCUUCUCUAGACUUCCUACGAAGAGCCAAUCUUAUGAAAUAUCAUCAAAACAAUAAUAAUUCAUUUAUCUACCAGCAAAUAUGUUGAGGGGUGUGCACUAAUUUCUUUGUCCAGUGAACUCAAUCCACCUUUCGUACAGUGACCGUCGUAAAGGGCUAAGAAUUUGAAAAUAAAAUAAAAUAGAAUCCGAGGCUCAGAUCUGCAAAAUAUCAGGCAAAAGACUCCGAACUCGCCAUGGCUGCAAAAUCCAGUUGCAAACCAUGCCAUCUGAAUUUGCCCCGCCAAGAUACGAGUCAGGGUUUCUUCAUACCCGACCCAACUCAAGAAACGUAUCAUCACAGCCUACGAGGAAAGGAACGCGAAAAGAGUUUGUUGGGUAAACCGUGACAUAGCAUAAGUUCAGUGACCAUUGAAACAAUUAACUCUAUCUUCACUAAAUGCAUAGCUUCAUAUGAAUUGAUGAAGAUGGGAAGAAAGGGUUGGUUCUGCAAGUACGCGCAAAGUCGCAACCCGAAAUAAUUACAGGUAGUUUGCUGUAGAAGAGGGUUGUUGAUUUUGUGAAAUCAUUGGCAAUAGAGAGGGUAACAACCCUUUAAAAAAUUCCCAUUUCUCUAACUGCCUCAUUCAUUCGAGUUGGGAUUUUUGCAAGGAAACCCUAAUUUCUUGCUAUAAGACCUGGAUUUAGGGAUGUCGGUCGGGCCGCCCAAGAAGGUCAAAACUCGGACCACUGUUAUUACGAAUUCAGAAAAAAUAGAUCACGAAUCGUUAAAAAAACAAUUAUAAAAUUAAUAAUUAAAUUUAAUUAUAUAUUUAUUAUUUUUAUCAUAUAUUUUACCAAAUUUUAUCAAAAUCUAAUAUAAUCUUUAGCAAAACCAAACAGAAACUAUAUUUAUUUUGCCUUUUGUUUAUAUAUAAAUUAAAGCAAAUAAUAAAAGUUGAUAAAAAGGGGGAAAAAAGAAAGAAAAAGCGAAGUUGAGAUUACUAAGGAUUUUCAGCAAAUUUACGUAUUAAUUCUCAAAUACAAAGAAAAUGUAUCUAUUUAGAUUCAUCAAUAUAAUUUUAAAUUUAGUUUUAACAGCACAUUCAUCAGAAAAUCCUUUUUCUUUUUUUAAAUCUAUUCUUAAGACAUGGGAUCAAAUAGGGGCUAAGAGCCUCUUUAAGAGACUUACCAUAUUGAUGAUUACAUUGCACAAUGUUUCAUUCAUUAUGUCAUGAACUUCUAAUCCUUGCUUUGUGGUUAAGUAACUGAUAUGCAGUAUCUCAGUUGCAACUCAUUCUGUCACAAAUUUUCUAGCAAAUUUAUUUAUGUACGAUUAUUUCCUUCUUUUGUGUGUUGGUCUCUUUGUGAUCUAGCUUGUCAUCUUCAGUACGCAAAAUUCUUCUUAUGGUUUUGCUCUGGGUGCUCUUUCUAUUAGGUUGUAUGAAUUGAGCGAUCGCACAGGGCCUUAAUAUUGUUAGGGCACCAAAAAAAUUUGUUGUGUGUGUGUAUGUAUAUAUAUUGUUAUAUAUUUUUAAAAUGUUUUAAUAAUUUUAAAUUUUGUUAUAUCUCUACUGUCUUAAAAGAGCCAAUAUACCAUUUACUAUUCAUUUUUGAAGCAUUUUCACUUCCCAUUUUGUCCCCAAACAAUUAACAAAUCACCACUUAUCUUAAUUUAUUUUCAUUUCCCAUUUCGUCCUCGAACAAUUAACAAAUCACUACUUAUCUUAAUUUAUUUUCAUUUUCCAUUUUGUCUUCAAACAAUUAACAAAUCACUACUUAUCUUAUCUCUACGAUCUUAAAAGAGCCAAUAUACCAUUUACUAUUCAUCUUUGAAGCAUUUCCAUUUCCCAUUUUGUCCUUAAACAAUUAACAAAUCACUACUUAUCUUAUCUCUAUCUACUAUCUUAAAAGAGCCAAUCUGCCAUUUACUAUUCAUUUUUGAAGUUUUUUCAUUUCUAAUUUUGUCCUCAAAUAAUUAACAAAUCACUACUUAUCUUAAUUUAUUUUCAUUUCCCAUUUUGUCGAGCCAAUAUACCAUUUACUAUUUAUUUUUGAAGCAUUUUCACUUCCCAUUUUGUCCUCAAACAAUUAACAAAUCACUACUUAUCUUAAUUUAUUUUCAUUUCCCAUUUUGUCCUCAAACAAUUAACAAAUCACUACUUAUCUUAAUUCACUUUCAUUUCCCAUUUCGUCCUCAAACAAUUAACAAAUCACCUCAAAUAAUUAACAAAUCACUACUUAUCUUAAUUUAUUUUCAUUUUCCAUUUUGUCUUCAAACAAUUAACAAAUCACUACUUAUCUUAUCUCUACGAUCUUAAAAGAGCCAAUAUGCCAUUUACUAUUCAUCUUUGAGCAUUUCCAUUUCCCAUUUUGUCCUUAAACAAUUAACAAAAUAUUACUUAUCUAAUCUCUAUCUACCAUCUUAAAAGAGCCAAUCUGCCAUUUACUAUUCAUUUUUGAAGCAUUUUCAUUUCUAAUUUUGUCCUCAAAUAAUUAACAAAUCACUACUUAUCUUAAUUUAUUUUCAUUUCCCAUUUUGUCGAGCCAAUUUACUAUUUACUAUUCAUUUUUGAAGCAUUUUUCACUUCCCAUUUUGUCCUCAAACAAUUAACAAAUCACUACUGAUCUUAAUUUAUUUUCAUUUCCUGUUUUGUCCUCAAACAAUUAACAAAUCACUACUUAUUUUAAUUUAUUUUCAUUUUCCAUUUUGUCUUCAAACAAUUAACAAAUCACUACUUAUCUUAUCUCUACUAUCUUAAAAGAGCCAAUAUGCCAUUUACUAUUCAUCUUUGAAGCAUUUCUAUUUCCCAUUUUGUCCUUAAACAAUUAACAAAUCACUACUUAUCUUAUCUCUAUCUACUAUCUUAAAAGAGCCAAUCUGCCAUUUACUAUUCAUUUUUGAAGCAUUUUCAUUUCUAAUUUUGUCCUCAAAUAAUUAACAAAUCACUACUUAUCUUAAUUUAUUUUCAUUUCCCAUUUUGUCGAGCCAAUAUACCAUUUACUAUUCAUUUUUGAAGCAUUUUCACUUCCCAUUUUCUCCUCAAACAAUUAAGAAAUCACUACUUAUCUUAAUUUAUUUUCAUUUCCCAUUUUCUCCUCAAACAAUUAACAACUUAAUUUAUUUUCAUUUCCCAUUUUGUCUUCAAACAAUUAAAAAAUCACUACUUAUCUUAGCUCUACUAUCUUAAAAGAGCCAAUAUGCCAUUUACUAUUCAUCUUUGAAGCGUUUUCAUUUCCCAUUUUGUCCUCAAACAAUUAAAAAAUCACUACUUAUCUUAUCUCUAUCUACUAUUUUAAAAGAGCCAAUAUGCCAUUUUCGAGCCCCGCACUGUUAAUGUCAUUAUAACAGAGGUUGACAACGAAGUCGACGUGGACAUAGAAAUGUUCGAUGCCCCUGAACAAGGACAAACCUCCGAGCAAGAGGAAGACGUCGACAUGGUAGAGGCCCCUGAAGAAGGACACCCCCUUGAUGAGUUGGAUCAUCGAAUUAUCAAGCAUGAACUAAAUGCGACUCCAAUGGAAGAACUGGAAACUUUCCCCAUCAACCUUGAAGACCCCAUUCAGGUCUUGCGGAUCGGGAAAGCACUACCCCCCGAAGUGAAAGAAGAAAAGAUGAACUUUCCGAAAAAGAACUUGGUUGUCUUCGCCUGGAAGCAUGAAAACAUGGUAGGAAUAGACCCAAGAAUCAGUUGCCACCACCUUAACAUCAACUCCUCCUGCGUCCCUAUAUUGACAGAAAAGACGAGCCCUCAAUUCAGAGUGAUAUGAGGUGCUCAAAGAAGAAGUCGACAAACUCAGUCGCAGCGACUUCAUCAGAGAAGCUAUCUAUUCGAAGUGGAUAUCAAACCCAAUCCUCGUAAAGAAACCUAGCGAAAAAUGGAGGGUGUGUGUAGACGUCACAAAUUUGAACAAGGCAUGUUCCAAAGACAGCUUCCCUCUCCCAAGGAUAGACCAACGGGUGGACUCCAUUGCUGGACACGAAUACUUGAGCUUCAUGGAUGCAUACUCAGAGUACAACUAGAUACCCAUGUUCCGACCUGAUGAGGAAUCCACAUCGUUCAUCAUAGAUAGAGGAUUGCAUUGCUAUAAGGUAAUGCCCUUCGGAUUGAAAAAUGUCAGAGCUAAAUACCAAAGGCUGGUCAAUAUGAUGUUUGCUACGUCAUUGGCAAAACUAUAGAAGUCUACGUGGACGACAUGCUAGUUAAAAGCCUCCGGGCGAAAGAACACAUAAGUUACCUAUACCAGACCUUUCAAAUUCUUAGAAAAUAUAAAAUGAAGUUGAACCCUUUGAAGUGUACCUUCAGGGUAGCUUCGUGUCAAUUUCUAGGGUAUAUUAUGAACCAAAGAUGAAUCGAGGCAAAUUCAGAAAAGAUAAGGGCCUUAUUCGAGAUUAGGUCACCUCAAAAGCCAAAGGAGGUCCAAAGCCUCAAUGGUCGGAUAGCUGCACUCAGUCGCUUCAUCUUCAGGGCCACCGACAAGAGCUACCCUUCUUCAAAGUCUUGAAGCAAGGAAAGAAGUUACAAUGGACGGAUGAGUGCGAAGAAGCCUUCCAAGCACUGAAGAAGCACUUAGAAGAGGCACCCCUACUAUCCAAACCUGAACCACGAGAACCAGUGCUGCUGUACUUAGCAGUCUCAGACGAGGCUAUCAGCGCAGUCCUUGUCAGAGAGGAAAAUACGCAUCAAAUGUCGGUGUACUAUAUUAGCAAAGCACGACACCCAGAAGAGACGCACUACCCAGAUAUGGAAAAACUUGCACUCUCCCUUGUUAAAGCAUCAAGGAAAUUGAGGCCAUACUUUUAUGCUCAUUCGAUUGAAGUUCUCACCAACUUUUCCUUGAAAUAAAUAUUGCAAAGAAUAGACGCUUCGGGCCGUUUGCUAAAAUGGGCAAUCGAGCACAACGAGUUCGACCUACUGUUCCGACCCUGAAAUGCCAUCAAGGGCCAAGUCCUUGCAGAUUUUGUGGCUGAGUUUGCCAAAGUCCCAGAAAUGGAGGCAAUAAUGGAACUAGUCGAGCCCCCAACAUGGAACCUAUUUGUGGAUAGAACUUCGGGAGAGACAGGCUCCAGAGCAAGAGUUGUUUUGGAAAGCCCAGAGAGCCAUAAGCUAAACUGCGUGGUCAGGUUCGGCUUCAAAGUCUCGAACAACGCUGCAGAAUAUGAGGCCCUCCCAACAAGCCUUAGACUAGCGAAAGAAAUGCAAAUGAAAAGGCUCCUAGCAAGUAGCGACUCGCAGUUUGUAGUAAGUCAGGUCAACGAAAAAUUUACAGCCAAAGACAAUGACAUGGCUGCGUAUCUGAAAUUGGUUAUGAACCAAGUCCCUCACUUUGAGAGAUUCGAACUGGUUCAAGUCCCACGCCUCGAAAAUACACACGCCAACGCCCUAUCCAAGUUGGCUAGCAGCAGAGAUUCGGAGUUGCUAAAAAUUGUCCUAAUUUAGCGCCUACCGAAGCCCUCUAUCUCUGGAAGCGAAGAGGUACUAUGGAUUGAAGGCACACCAAUUUGGAUGCAACCCAUCGUAGCCUACCUCAAAGAUCAAUCGCUACCAGCCUUGAAAAAUUAGGCGAAGAAAUUGAGGAGACGGGCCGCUCACUUUGUUCUCCUGGAUGAUGUGCUCUACAAAAGGGGUUUCGCCUCGCCACUUCUCCAUGUGUUGAGGGGAUAAAGCCAUGUAUAUACUCAGGGAGAUCCACAAGGGAGUCUGCGGCAACCACUCCGGAGGAACGGCUUUGGCGCACAAAGUAUUUCGACAGGGCUACUUGUGGCCGACCCUGAAAAGGGACUUUUGCCAGUUUGUUAAAAAAUGUGGCAAGUGUCGGCACUUCUUAAACAUUCAAAGGCAGCCUUCUCAGAGCCUCUCCGUAGUCAUGAGCCCGUAGCCGUUCGCCAAAUAGGGCAUCGACUUUAUUGGCUCGCUCCCAAAAAGAAGAGAAAGCGCUACCUUUUCCAUUGUUGCCUUAACUACUUUACCAAGUGGGUCGAAGCUGAACUUUUGGCAAAAAUCACUGAGGCGAACACUACAAAGUUCGUCUGAAAAAAUAUCAUUUGCAGGUUCGGCAUUCCCCACUCUUUAGUGUCUGAUAACGGAAGGUAAUUCGACAACAAAAAGAUGCGAGACUUGUGUGAUGGACUCAGCAUAAGGAAGGAUUUCUCAACACCUCAUCACCCCCAAGCCAAAGGGCAAGUUGAGGCAGUGAACAAGACUAUUAAGCAUACCCUGAAAAGGAAGCUUGAUACCUCGAAAGGGGCAUGGGUCAACGAGCUUCUCCAUGUCAUCUGGGCCAUUCGAACAACUUGUCGAACCGCAACAGACGAAACACCCUUCUCCAUGACCUACGGAUCCGAAGCCAUAAAUCCUGUCGAGGUGGGUGUCCCAUCUCAUCGUCGGAUACAUUUCAAUGAGAUCGGCAACGACGAAGCUCGAGUGUACGAACUUCACCUCCUUGAAGAAAUGAGGGAUUCCUCUCAAAUAAAGUUGACUAAGUAUCAAAGAAAGAUGACAUGUUAUUACAACCCUAAGGUCAGAAACCGAACUCUUCGUGUGGGGGACCUCGUCUUCAGAAGGGUCUUUCAAUCAUCGAAGCCAAUUGGGUCCGGAGUGUUUGGACUAAACUGGGAAGGUCCUUAUUGUAUCCGUAAGGAGUCCCGACCUGGCACUUAUGAAAAUGAAGAUAUGGCAGGAAAAGUGUUGUCUCAUCAGUGGAACAUUGAACACUUGAGAAAAUUCUAUCAGCGAUAAGUGUAUGUUCUGAUCCGAUCUCCAUUUUGUCCAGCCUAUUGUAACAUUCCUAUCUUGCUAAGUGCUCGAAUUGCCUUAGUAAAAGAUAAUGUUGUAAACUCUAAGUUAUAAUACCUCAGUUCUCCAUUAUGUUAUAUGGGUUAAUCAAUUUAUGCCUCAGGCGAUUCAACAUUACCCGGGCAUUCCACGAGGCCCGGAAGUUGGUAAAGUCAUCAUACAGUGGGUGCUCUUCGAAGUGAUCGAUGAAGUUCUACACUGCUGACUCCCCAGCCGCCUUCACCUCAGCCUUCAGAGAUUCAAUCUCCUCAGCAUGGGCCUCUGCCCGUAGCCUCAACUCUGCCUUCUCUUUGUUUGAGACCUCCAGAACCUCAGUGACGAGCUGGUGGUGCUCAUUGGAAUGAUCAACCCUCCUUGUCAUAGCAACUACCUGGGACUUUACUUCAUACAACUCCUUUUUCAGCCUCUCCAUCUCCUCAUUGGCCCUCACGAGCUGGCCCUCCACCUCCUGCCUUGCGUUCUCUGCCUCAGAUGCCUUUUCUUGGGCCGCUCGCACUGCGUUCCCAUAGUGCAUUGCCUCCUCCAAGCGCUUGGCCAGGUCCUCCCUGUAAGCACUAAGAUCCUUCACCAAACCCUCAAGUUGGACACUUGUGCUAAGGGCCCUGGCGAUGCAUGCACAGUUGGCCGCGACAAGAUCCUCUGUAAUGCAGGAAGCGAUAUGGUCCCUCCACUCUUCAAUCCAGUAUUUGUGGUGGACCACCGCCACUGCGGCGGUCUCUAGAGGCAAGGCUUUCAGCACCUCCUUCAUGGGCUCUUCAGUGUUGAUGCCCAGAAAAUCCGCCUCCUUUGUGGGACAUAUCCUCUUCCUCUUUGGCUGCCCCAACACUAGGGAGAUUGGCACUGCAGGGAACGGAGCAUCAGCAGCAGCAACUGGGAGAGACUCGGAAAAGCGAAUAGUCUUCUCCCGGAUGGCCACCUCGGUAUGUAUCGUGGUCUGUUUCAGAACGGGGAAGGCCUCGCCACGGUUGGCCCCUUCGACGGGCCAGUAGCCUUUUUACCCUUCCUCAGCAAGUUCGCCUCAGGGUCUUCUACUUUCUCCUCCUCCGCCGAUGGCUGAAGCUGUUUGCUUGCAAUAACCAGCUCCUUGGUCUGCUUCUUAUAGGUUGAGGAGGAGGUCUUCAAGGCCCUUACCUCGGCCAUCAUCUUUUGAGUGGUCUUAAAAUCAGGCCUCAGGGGCCUCUUCUUGUUGAAAUUAUCUGCCGAGAAAAAAUUAAUACAAGUAUAUGGAGUUCAUAAAUCUACUACAAUAAAGCCACUUCAGAUAAUUACCUUGGGAGGCCAUUAGGUCGUGCGUAAAGAAGUGUCUAUACUUUUUAAUCAGCUCGUGAUAAGAUCUCUUCAGUGGGAGCUGAUAAAAAUGCAAAUUAAGUCAAAUUCCUUAGUGGACAUCUCACAGUGAGGAAGAGUGCCUGCAAACAACAAACAUGGGUCAGGAACCGAAUAGAAGUUCAAAAUAAAUUCAAACACAGGGCGUCAGCCCUCACUGAGCGAUGGGAUUGUGAGGGAUGCUAGGGGGUCCCCCUCCAUUAUGUCCCACCUUCCGAACCCCCAGCACCACGACGUCUUCCAGUCCUUUAUUGAGCUCAGCAGGUCUAGGACGAAUGGAUUGUGGGCCCUCUAGGAGGUUAAGGAAUACCACCCCUUAGUCUUAUCCCCCGGCCGCCACUUUGGGGAUGUACAGGUUCUGGAAGACCAAAAAGCGCAUCUCUGCCCCAAGAGAUGCCUCCUUCCACAACAUCCAUGAACCCACCAUCUAGCUCCAGGAUUUCGGGUUUAAUUAGGUCGAAGCUAACCCAUAUGACCUAAGGACAUACUGGAAGAAAGGGUAGAUAGGCAACCUAAGUCCAGUGUCGCGUGUUGUCACACCCGUCCUACCCACCUGGGCCAUGGCCCACUUACGAUGAUCCACGUGGCACACAAUGCCGAGGUAGGCUACAUCCGAACUGCUUCGAGCGAAGUCCAUCUACCGAGGCUCCUUUUUGUCCGACGCCCAUUGACCGAGGCCUACGAACCGAAGCCAGGCUGCUGGAACCUGUUGAGAGCAGCUGAGGCCCUCAAGGGGAAGUAUCAUGACAAAUGGCCAAAGCCCCGAAACUGAUGCGCGAGCCUCUGAACCACAAGGAAACAUCCUCCAUGGUCACUUCUCCCAGGAGAUCGCCUGCACAGAUCUUAUUCGAAUGAUUGAUGGAACGUUUAUCGUAAGCAUAAAGGUCAAGUCUUGUCACUAGCAUGGAGGCCCUACACAAGCAAUAAAUGCGCUGCAAGCUAGCCAGUCAAGCCCCAUACCUAGGAAGAGAUGUUCGAACUAAAGAGAUGAGGCCACGUGCCUCCAAGGGCUCCCAUUUCAUAUGUACUACUAUAAAUACUUCCUUGUGUAAUAUCAAAAGGCUAAUGCAAGAAUCAAUACUAAAGACUACAUUUACUCAACUCUCUCUCAUUUACUUGCAAUACACAAAUCGAGUUUAUACACUUUUACAUAUACAUUUACGAGCACCGGUUGGUAAUUAUUCUACAAUCGGAUUACGAACAACCUGUCGGAUUUCGAACGUCACCAUCCCGCGUCGUUGGGCUACUCCCACGUCCCUUUGAACCGCUCGUUUUAGACCGUCCACGUGUCUUAGCGUGUUGGACAUUUGCCCACGCAAGCGCGGGUGGGAUCGGUAUCUGUUGGCGCACUUUUUGGGGUUAACAAAUUGGCGCCGUCUGUGGGAAACCAUACCAUAACUACGAGCAACCUUGUGGUAGAAGCUUGCUGAAAAAAUAUUUGGGCAACCCCCCUUGAAAAAGGAUUUGUUCUUGGAAAAGAACAGGAGGAAAGAGCUCUAACGAAGAUACUCCCCCAAGGAGGGUAAGAGAAAGCACAAAUGUGCCUCCUCAGCCUGCUGCCCCAGCAGCUUGGACGAGGCUCCACUACCACCAAAGGAGAGGUGGAAUGCGUGCGACAGCAUGACUAUCAAGAGAAAUGGCUACCAUGGCAGCCAACAAAAACUUAGCCAUGAGGGAGCUCAUGGCCCAAAUGCAAGGCUAGGGAGGCUUUCCCAUUCCUCCAUAUGCCCCCCACGGGCACUAUCGGCAAGAGGACGAGGUCCAGAGUCAUAGGACUGCCUCGCCAGACUAUGACCGAAGUGAAAGCCCAUUCGAGAGGAAAGUGGGAGUCGACAUUUCCUCCAACUAUGCAUCUGGCCGACCCACCGAGGUCCAAAUAAGCCAAGAUAACUUUCCACCUCCAUAUGAGCAAGACCCAAGACAUAGGAGGGCAGGAAGUGUUUUUUACAGAAUCAGCCCUGCCGAACCGAGGCCCAGUCAACGGCAGGCUCAGCAGCCUCGGACGAGGCCACAGCCUCCACCUCCGAUGCCCCAGCAGUAGGCCGCAAAGGAGGGAGGAAGAAGCUAGAAACCGGCCCGGACCCUCUCACCAACAACCGAGGUACGAGGUCGAAGACUACGAUUCUGAUGAGCAGCAGAGGUCCUGUGACUUGGACGAUGAUGAUGAGAACCUGCCAUUCUCAACAGAACUAAAAAAUGCCCGGGUUCCAACCCACUAUGUCAUGCCAAAAAUACCAAAGUAUGAUGGGAGAGGUGACCCAGAAAAGCACCUCAACGCUUACAAAACUCACAUGAGCCUAAGGGGCGCCACUCCAGACGUAAAGUGCAGAACAUUCCAUAUAACCCUCAGUGGAGCGGCUGAAAUCUGGUAUAGUAGGCUACCAUCUGGGAGUAUUCAAAGCUGGCCCGAGUUCAAAACUACCUUCUUGAAGAGGUUCGCAGUAAGCAAGGAAGGAGAGGCCCCCAUCCAACGUUUGCAAGACAUGAGACAGGCACAUGGCGAGUCCCUGGAGAGCUUCCUAUCUCGCUUCACCGACGAGAUGACCUACUGUGUACAGGUCACCGACAGAGAGGCACUAUCUGCAUUGAGAGAAGGCUUGAACAUGAACACCCUAUUCUGGAGGGAUGUGCAGAAUCAAGACCCCACCACAUAUGACGCCUUACUAGAGAUGAUGAGAAGGGAGAUAAUUAAUGAAGAAUUGAUUGAGCACAGGAACAGGGCAAGCAGAGGCCUCCCGCCUCCUCAAAGACAGCGAGGUAGGGGACCGACCUCCCACCUCAUGGACUACCGGAAGAACCAGACCGGAAAUGAGAACUCUGGACAAGCAUUGGCCACCACAACUCUGAACAUGGUUCCUACUUUGGCAUAUGAGGAUGUCAACCCAACUGCUGACCCACAUCAGAUGGAGGCCCAGCAGGGACCCUGUAGAGGUAGAGGCCGAGGUCGAGGUUUUGCACCUAGAAAUAGGUCCAAUUCGAACCUCCCUGGAUACUGUUUGCACCACAGGUCCUACGGGCACGAUACCGCGAAUUGUAGAGACUAUGCACGCCACUCCCACAGGAACCCGUCAGAGAAAGACAUAACUCACCCCAGGCGAACAGGCCCCCGCCCAGGCAGGACAACCGACAUGGGCGUGAGGCGGCCGCUCCUCGUCAAAGGGAUGUAUCCCCAAGGCGAAGAGAGCAAGACACAGAGAGGCCCAGGGAAAGGCGUAGACACCGAAGAAAUAGGCAAGCUCAAGAUGAGACCCCUAUCCACGAGAUAGAUACCAUAUUUGGAGGCCCUUAUGUUGGCGGUAAAACGCGAAACGCCAAAAGAAAUUAUGCUAGGGAGGCUAAGCACCCCCCUUUGACGAGCUACAUUGUGGACAGUAGCUCUCGAAGAAAUCAAGUACCACCAAUUGUCUUCACCCAGGAAGACGCCGAAGGAGUUCAUUACCCCCACUACGAUGCACUGGUAGUGAGGGCUGUCAUAGCCCGAAAUGGGCUCAAACGAAUGCUAGUCAACAACGGCAGCUCCGUCAACAUUCUAUUCGGGUCCGCCUUUGACAAGAUGAUAUUGGACCAUCAGUUGACGCCCACCACCACUCCAUUGUACGGAUUUACCGAAGAUAACAUCACUCCGAGAGGAAAGAUAACACUGGCAGUGGAGAUGGGAGAAUCUCCUCAAACUGCGAUGAACUUCACGGAAUUCCUCGUAGUUGACAGCCAGUCGGCAUACCACGGAGUCUUGGGCAGACCGGCCCUAAAGGAAUUGAGAGCAGUCACCUCCAUCCACCACCUAUGCAUGAAAUUCCCAACAGAAAAUGGGGUGGCAAUGGUGAGAAGCGACCAGAGAGGUUCGAGAGAGUGCUAUCUGAGCUCCGUUAAAAAGGUAGAGCCCCGGGACGUCCACGUGAUCAUGGCUGAUGUGGUCAUGGCGGAUAUCCCAGGUGACGCUCCCACUGACCAGAAAGAUGUUGAUAUGAUCGACGCACCGCUUAUUCCGGAGGUGCUGAUCGUUGAUGAGAUCGACCCCCGCAUAAUAGAACAUGAGCCUUAAGCAUUCCCUGUAGAGGAACUUGAGAGCUUCUCAGCCGACCCCCGAGAUCCGUCCAAGGUGUUGAAAGUAGGCAGAGGCUUGUCCAACAUUUUGAGAGAAAAGAUUAAGGACUUCCUAGGCAAGAACCUUGACGUCUUUGCUUGGAGGCACGAGGACAUGGUGGGCAUAGACCCCAAGAUCAGCUGCCACCACUUGAGAAUUGAUUCUAAUAUUGCCCCGCAUAGACAAAAAAGGAGAGCCCUCAACCCUGAGAGGUAUGAGGCCCUAAAGGAAGAGGUUCAGAAGCUCAUCCAAAAUGGCUUCAUUAGGGAGGCCACCUAUCCGAGGUGGGUCUCCAACCCGGUCUUGGUUAAGAAACACAAUGGCAAAUGGAGGGUAUGCAUUGACUUUACCAACCUUAAUAGAGCUUGCCCGAAAGACAGCUUCCUGCUUUCAAGGAUUGACCAAUUGGUGGACUCCACGGCUGGGCACGAGUUGUUGAGCUUCAUGGAUGCAUACUCCGGUUACAACCAAAUCCCCAUGCACCCGGCCGAUGAAGAGCACACCUCUUUCAUCACGGACCGAGGCCUCUAUUGCUAUAAAAUGAUGCCUUUCGGCUUGAAAAACGCCGGAGCAACCUACCAAAGACUCGUGAACAAAAUGUUUACUGACCUCAUUGGCAGGACAAUGGAGGUCUACGUGGAUGACAUGCUGGUGAAGAGUUUAGAGGCAGAAAACCACAUAGCGCACCUCAACGACACCUUCCAAAUCCUGAGAAGGUACAGGAUGAGGCUCAACCCCUUGAAAUGUGCCUUUGGGGUGGCUUCCGGCAAGUUCUUGGGGUACAUGGUCAACCAGUGAGGAAUUGAAGCAAAUCCCGAGAAGAUUGAGGCUCUGUGCUAGAUUAGGUCCCCUCAAAAGCCAAAGGAGGUGCAAAGCUUAACUGGACGAGUGGCAGCACUUAGUCGCUUCGUCUCCAAAGCAACUGACAAGUGCCUCCCAUUUUUCAAAGUGCUCAAGGCUGGGAAGAAAUUCCAAUGGACUGAGGAAUGUGAAGAGGCCUUCCAAGGAUUGAAAAGGCAUUUGGGGCAGGCCCCGCUCCUCUCCAAGCCGAAGCCCGGUGACAUUUUGCAACUAUAUCUUGCCGUCUCCAAUGACGCCAUCAUUUAGGUUCUGAUUCGAAAAGAAGGGUCCACCCAACUUCCCGUCUACUAUACGAGUAAAGCGCUCCUAUCGCCGGAGACCCGAUACCCCGAUAUGGAGAAGCUUGCUUUGGCCCUAAUCACGGCCUCUAGGAAGUUGAGACCCUAUUUCCAAGCUCAUACCAUCCAUGUACUUACAAAUUUUCCCCUAAGGCAAGUUCUCCAAAAGCCCGAUGCCUCGAGAAGAUUGUUGAAAUGGGCAGUGGAACUAAGUGAAUUUGUCCUUGUGUUCAAAGCUAGGGCAGCCAUCAAAGGGCAAGCUUUAGCUGACUUUGUUGCUGAAUUCGCCAACCUACCCGAGGUGGAUGAAAUCAUGGAGUCCAUCGAACCCCCCCCCCGUGGAGCCUCUUCGUCGAUGGCUCAGCUGGGGAAGUCGGCUCAGGUGCCGGGGUUGUCCUCAUCAGCCCUGAGGGUCACAAACUCACCUCGACCGUGAGCUUCAGAUUCAAAGCCACCAACAAUGUUGCAGAGUAUGAAGCACUCCUUGCGGGCCUCAGACUGGCCAAGGAAAUGCAAGUAAAGAAGCUACUCAUCAAUAGUGACUCCCAACUGGUUGUUAGCCAAGUCAAUGGCAAUUUCUCAGCCAAAGACAAAACAAUGGCCUCCUAUCUGAAAAUGGUGAUGGACCUCAUCCCAUUGUUUGAAAAGUUCGAGUUAACCCAGAUUCUCCGCAUCGAAAAUGCUCAUGCGGAUGCACUCUCGAAGCUGGCUAGUAGCAAAGACUCAGAGCUACUCACUGUAGUACCUAUCGAACACCUCCUACUGCCUUCUACCGAGGCCCCUAAUGUCUUGUGGGUCAGUGGAACUCCCACCUGGAUGCAACCAAUUAUAGCAUAUCUGAAAGACCAAGCGCUGCCCACCAACAAGAAUGAGGCUUAUAAGCUGAGAAGGAGGUCAGCCCACUUCCUCUUCAUCGAUGAUAUUCUCUACAAAAGAAGUUUCUCCUCUCCACUCUUACGAUGCGUCGGAGGAGAAGAGGCUACCUACAUACUAAGAGAAGUCCACGAGGGAGUGUGCGGCAACCACUCUGGAGGCCUAUCUCUGGCACAAAAAAUACUAAGGCAAGUGUACUACUGGCCUACUCUGAAACGGGAUGCUCUCGAAUUUGUGCGAAAAUGUGACAAGUGCCAACGAUUCUCUCCCGUUCAAAGACGACCAUCACAGGAUUUGACUGCAGUCUCUAGCCCCUGGCCUUUCUCAAAGUGGGGUGUGGACCUCAUAGGCCCUUUACCUAAGGGAAGAGGAGGUGCAAGUUUUGCAAUAGUGACCAUUGAUUACUUCACAAAGUGGGUCGAAGCUGAACCACUGGCAAAAAUCACAGAAGCAAACACCUCCAAGUUCCUAUGGAAGAAUAUUAUUUGUCGGUUCGGAAUUCCCUACUCGAUCGUCUCAGACAAUGGCAGGCAAUUCGAUAACAAGAAGGUUAGAGAACUGUGUGAAGACCUUGGCAUAAAGAAGCACUUCUCUACACCUCACCACCCACAAGCUAAUGACCAAGUUGAAGCCGUAAACAAGAUAAUCAAGCACGUCCUGAAAAGGAAGCUUGAUGUAUCCAAGGGAGCUUGGGUUGAUGAGCUGUCCCAAGUACUUUGGGCAAUCCGAACCACCACCAGGACCCCAACGGGGGAGAUCCCCUUUCUCAUGGCUUUUGGGACUGAGGCAAUAAGCCCCGUGGAGGUCGGACUCCCAUCUCCACGUCGUCUGCACUUCAGCGAAGUGACCAACGACGAGCUCCGUAGGCUCGACCUCGAUUUCAUUGAGGAGAGAAGGGAUGAAUCCCAGCUGAGACUAGGCACCUAUCAAAGAAAGAUGACAAGAUACUUCAACUCCAAAGUUAAGAAGAAGUCAUUCCGAAUCAACGAUCUUGUGCUCAGGAAGGUCUUCCCAUCUUUAAAAGAACCUGGUUCCGGUUCCCUGGGGCCGAACUGGGAAGGUCCAUACAAGAUCAGAGAAGAGAUCCGACCUGGAAUCUACUGGAUUGAAGACAUGGACGGCAAGGCACAACCCCAUCCAUGGAAUAUUGAACACCUCAGAAUCUUUUAUCAAUAAAUUGUAUCAUGCUGGCUGACUUUCCCAGCCUUUGUAAUAUUUCUAUGGCUCAAUAAAAUGCAUUGAUUAAACCGUUUGGGAUGUGUUGUCACCUCGGAGGAGAGGCUCGGGACCCACCUCCGGGCCACCUCGCUUGAACUCCGAGGCGCUAGCACAUGCCUCCCUUUGGCCCUGCUGAGCGCCAAGGGGAGAAGCCUCAACAUGGCUGCACCAUCCACCAUGUCUGGGAUGCGUCGUCACCUCGGAGGAGAGGCUCGGGACCCACCUCCGGGCCACCUCGCUUGAACUCCGAGGCGCUAGCACAUGCCUCCCUUUGGCCCUGCUGAGCGCCAAGGGGAGAAGCCACAACCCUAAAAUCCGAGGCUCGCACUGUUCAUCUCCUUAUGUUAUGUUAAUUUGCUUAAGUCCGAGGUUCGUACAGUUCAUCUCCUUAUGUUAAUUUUCUUAAGUCCGAGGUUCGUACAGUUCAUCUCCUUAUGUUAAUUUGCUUAAGUCCGAGAUUCGUACAGUUCAUCUCCUUAAGUCACGUUUAUGUGCUUAAGUCCGAGGUUCACACUGUUCAUCUCCUUAAGUUAGGUUAAUUUGCUUAAGUCCGAGGUUCGUACAGUUUAGCCACUCAAGUUAUGUUCAUUUAUUUAGUUCGUGCUUCUAUCAAGUUCCAGUAAAUUUGUUUAAACGAGGUAUAAAAACUUGGACAAAAAGCAACAAUGAAAGAAGAAAGACAUUGUAUUGAUAUUUCAAAGCAGGUUACAAAGGAGGGCCUCUGGCCAUUACAUCCAAAUUACUGAAAAAAUAAAACCUAGUCUAUGCCUGGCUAGAUGAUGGAGGAGCCUCGGCACUGGGGCCUUCAGCAACUUGGGCAUCAGCAGUUGUUUUCUCUGCCUCAGCACUAGGGGCCUCGGCAUCAACUUUUUCAUCACCCUGGACCUCUACAGCUGGGAUCUGAGGUACCUCAUCCACAAAUUCGGACCUAAGUUGAGCCAGGUCCAAGUUGGGAUAGAGCUCCUCUACCCUCUCCAGCACUUCGGCAUAGGCAAAGUUCCUCCAAUACGCGCUGAAGCUUUUAUACUCCUCUGUAGUGUGAAAAUUGGCGAUGUAUUCCUUCACCGCCUCUUCCCCUGCAGUUCGGGCCUCUUCUCUGGCAACAGAGGCGUCAUUCAUGUACCACUUCGCCUGGCCUUCAAGAAACUGAUAAGCAUCUCGAGCAAAGGCCAAGGAGAGGUUCGCCUUCUCAAGGGCCUCAGCAGUCACCUUUUGGUGCUCAUUAGAGACCUCCACCUUCUUUGUCAAGGAGGCCACCUCGCACUGUGACUCAUACACUUCCUUCUUCAGGGCCUCAAUUUGGGCCAAAGCAGACUCCAGCUUCGCCGCCUCUUCAACUUUCUGGGAUUUGGCUUCUUAGGCCUCGGCCUUAGCAGCUUUAACCUCCUCUGCAAGGAAGGCAGCUUUCCCCUCCGAGGCGUGGGUCCUUAUUUGGAAUUCGCUUAAUGCCUCCCUGCAUUCGAGCGCGAGGCCAAAGGUCCGGGCGCUUUGGCUCACCAGUGCCCUUGUGAGGUCGGUGGCAUCACAAGACGAGGCAUGUAGCUACCACCUCUCUGUCCAGAACUUGUAAAAGCUCUCGGUGGCACUUCGGAUUUCCUCAGGGAGAGCCUCCACCAAGGCUGGGGCCAGCUCCUCCUCCGUCCCAGCUAGGAAGUUUGGAGACUUUCCCUUCUCCCGAACCGGCUUCUCCCUUGCCGCCUCCUCUUCGACGGCUUCUGCAGCUCACCUUGCAGCCUCUUCAGUCUCUACCUCUCUUACCAUCUCCAUUUUGAUGGCUUUAGAGGCUGCAGCAAGAAGCUUCGGCUCUCCAGUCUGUUCAGCCCUAUGGGACACUGAGGUCCCAAACUUGCCAGCUGAGCUGGAAAUGUGCACCAGCUUCUUCUUCUUAGUCUCCUCAGAGACUUUCUCCUUGCCCCGAGGCUCCUUAGGCUUCUCAGGCCUCUGAGUAGUUGCCUCCUUCGAGGCCCUGGGAGUGCAGUCCUUGGACAGGCGCUCAACCCUGCCUCAGACUUCCUUUGCCCCACUAGACCCAGGCUUCAGGGGCCUCGCCUUCGCAGUAGAAGUGGCCUUCAAGAUGGAGGCCAUGUCUGGAGCUGGGUACUCCCUCUUCUUGAAUUUGUCUGCAUAAUGUCAGAUCAGCAUCAGCAUAAGAAACAUUAAGGAUAAAAAAAAAAAACAAGGGAUCAGGUAUCGAGGCCUCAUACCUCUGGAUGCCAUCAGCUCGAAGUCCAAAAAGUAUCUGCUUCUAUCAAUCAGGUGAUCGAAGUGCCUAAGCUUCAGAGGCCUCUUGUAAAUGUCCUCUAUCACCUCGAAUUCCUCCCUGCUGAGCUCGAACCUCAUACUACUAUCUGCAAAGGAACCUCCAACAGUUAGACGAAUUCAUAUUCUGACUUCAAAAUACAAGCAGAGGUCGGGAGACUUACGAGCUUUGUAGUACUAGGUCGGCACUGUGCAUGACAGGGCUUUGUCACCCUCCACUGCCUGCCAUUUACCCCACACCCAGAAUCAGGACUCCUUCCACCCCUUGACAGAGGAAGGAAGUCCCACCACAAAGGGUGCGUGAGCCCCCCAAGGUGUGAGGUAGUACCACCCCCUUGACUCCUUCCCAAUUACCCGGGGCUGUAACAGGGUCAUGAAGACAUGAAGAGGCAUGUCCUCCCAAGUGACACUUCCUUCCAUAGGAAGUACAAGCCGACAAGCUGGCUCCACCCAUUCAGCAGGACCUGGGUCGGCGACAGCAUGAAUUUCCUAAGCACCGCCCUAAAUAAGGGGUGCAGAGGAAGAUGCAUACAUGCCUUGAACACGUAUUCACUCACAGCCACUCAGCCGGGCCUCGGAUAGCAAGCCCGCUCGUUCGGCUCGGGGACUAACAUCUCUAUGUUAUGGGGUACACUGUACCUCUCCCUAAGUUCCCCCAACCUCUUCCCCGUCAUAUUCGAGGGCACUCUAGAAGCCCCCCAAUCCUGGGUAUAAUCCACAGCCUCCUCGACCAUGGCAUACCUAUCCACCUCGGACAUUCCCCCAUGACCUACCCCAUGGUCUAAAGAGGCCACUGUAACAAGCUCCCUACCCGAAGUGGACUCCAUUUUGUCAGUACAAAGACAGUAACAAGGGUUUUUUAUGCAAACAAUACCUAAACGAGUUCGACACAAACGGAGACUGGUCGAUGCCUGAAAAUUGGAGAUUUGAGAGAAUUUCAAAGUGCAAAGUGUUCAAAAAUCCUGAAAAUUGAGAUUUUCUCGCCAUUUAUAAAGGUCCAAGACGAACCCCAGCCGUCAGAUCAAAUCUCAGUCGAUCCGAGCCCUUCAUUUCAGAUCCAAUCCGAGGCGUUGAAUUCAAACAGUUUGUAAAUCCUACGCCUCAGAUUUAUGCGUGCCUCCCACGCACCUCUCCACGCGUCUACUUCUAGAAACGCCAGUUGCCCUCAUAAUUGCAUUUUUAAUUCGAUGGCACCAGCGCCUUGGAAGUUGUAACGGUUUAGCUACCUUUCCUCGAAAACAAGCACAAAACAUCAAAUCAUUGGCACAGCAACCAACGCACAAUCAUUGCCAUUAGACCUCGGCAAGCCUUGCAUGUUCGGUUCCUCAACCACCUCGGCUUCCUCUUCGCCCUUCAGCAUCAAAGCCUCGCGGGUUCGGCUACUCAACCACCUCGGCUCAUCUUCAGAGUUCAAACACCUCGCCUACUUCAUCGCUCACCCACGGCAACACUUCUCAAACUCCAACCAUGAUAUACAUAUCUAUGCUUGGACUUGGGGGACUAUUAUUUGGGGUUCAAAAAUUCUUUCAACUUUUACUCCAUUGAAGUCCACGCAUUACAUUAAUGAUUAUACUUGGACUUGGGGGACUAUUGUUGCGUGUUGUCAUACCUGUCCUACCCACCUGGGCCAUGGCCCACUCACGGCGAUCCAUGUGGCACACAAUGUCGAGAUGGGCUACAUCCGAACUGCUUCGAGCCGAAGUCCAUCUACCGAGGCUCCUUUUUGUCCGACGCCCAUUAACCGAGGCCUACGAACUGAAGCCAGGCUGCUGGAACCUGUUGAGAGCAGCUGAGGGCCUCAAGGGGAAGUAUCAUGACAAAUGGCCGAAGCCCCGAAACUGAUGUGCGAGCCUCUGAACCACAAGGAAAUAUCCUCCAUGGUCACUUCUCCCAGGAGAUCGCCUGCACAGAUCUUAUUCGAAUGAUUGAUGGAACAUUUGUCGUAAGCAUAAAGGUCAAGUCUUGUCACUAGCAUGGAGGCCCUACACAAGCAAUAAAUGCGCCGCAAGCUAGCCAGUCCAGCCCCAUACCUAGGAAAAGAUGUUCGAACUAAAGAGAUGAGGCACGUGCCUCCGAGGGCUCCCAUUUCAUAUGUACUACUAUAAAUACUUCCCUUGUGUAAUAUCAAAAGGCUAAUGCAAGAAUCAAUACUAAAGACUACAUUUACUCAACUCUCUCUCAUUUACUUGCAAUACACAAAUCGAGUUUAUACACUUUUACAUAUACAUUUACGAGCACCGGUUGGUAAUUAUUGUACAAUCGGAUUACGAACAACCCGCCGGAUUCCAAACGUCACCAUCCCGCGUCGUUGGGCUACUCCCACGCCCCUUUGAACCGCUCGUUUUAUACCGUCCACUUGUCUUAGCGUGUUGGACAUUCGCCCACGCAAGCGCGGGUGGGACCGGCAUCUGUUGGCGCACUUUUUGGGGUCAACAUCCAACCCUGAAGAGCGCUUCGCUCACAGCUACACACCCCGGCCUAGGGUAAUAGGCUCGUUCAUCAAGCUCCGAAAAUAAAAGUCUAUGCUAUCAUGGAUCCUAUAUUUUGCUCUAAGUCUAUCCAGGUCGGCCUCUCUUAACUUCGGUGGGUAAUCAGAAGGCCCCCAAUAUUUUGACAUGUCUAUCGGGCUAUCAGGCCUCCACCAGAUAUUUUCCCCUCCUAAUAUAGCCUCAGCCACCUCACUGGACGUCGCUAACAUAGGCUCGUCCACCUGAACUACACCCAGUUCCGUCCCCGAAGUAUUACUACUCUUAGAAGCCAUCUUCAGAAUUCAAAAAAGUGAAGAACUAGAGAAAUACUUACUGAAACGAGUGGAUUGGGGUUUUCUACGGUCGAAGAAUAAGAAAUGGCCUACUGAAACUUGUCGAAAACUGAGAAUGUCGUCGAAAAACACUUGAAGGUCGUCGAAAAUCGCAAAGAAUUCUGAGACGCCUAGAGUUUGAUUUCGCAAAAGUGAAAAUUUCUAACAACGCUCAAGUCCCUCUUUUUAUAGGACACUCUAGAUGAUCUCUACUGUUGAAUUCAAACGAUGUUAAUCUAGGCCGUUCAUCACGUCACAAAUCUGAAUCGUUGAAAUGAAACGCCAAAUUUAAUCAACGCCCAAGAUCUGACAGUGCCCCUCAGCACGCAUAAAAUGCAUCGCCUCGAACAAACAACAGCCGUCAACAAUAAGUAGCUGCAACAGCCCUUUUUCUAAAGACAGACAUCACAUCCAACUGUCGCCUUGGAAAUACGCGACAGCUGUCACAUCGAUUAACGUCAUAAUAACACUUCAAAUCAGAGAUAAUCAAUCCCAAUUCGCCUCAAACGAAUGCACUCUUCAGCUUCAAAAAGCUUCGGCCCAACUGACGCGGAGUCCCCUGUGGGUCACCACUUCGAUCGCACGACUUCUCAGCUUUACAAGGCGUUAGCCAUCUCUCAACGCGUCGUCCCUUGUGGGUCAGCGCACCUGUUGCAGAUGAGCUCUUCACCUAGAUUCAUAAAAUUUCGGCACAACUGACGCGGAGUCCCCUCUGGGUCACUGCCUUGGUCGCACAACUCCACAAGUUUACAAGGCGUCAGCCAUCUUCCAACACGUCGUCCCCCGUGGAUCAACGCGCCGAUGGCAGAUGAGCUCUACACCCUGCGUUACAAGCUUCAGGGCAACCGAGAGAACGCCCUACCCACACUACCUCGAUCAUCACUUCACCUCAGCCAACAGCUAUUCAGCACGUCUGCUUACUUCAUCCUUUCACAUUAGCACUUUAUCAGAAUCAAAAAUACUUACUCUAAUGCUAGCAUAUGCAAUCGGGGAAAGCAAGUCCACCCAUGAUAUGAAUAUUCAUGCCUGAACUUAGGGGGGACCACUGUUACACCCUAAUUAAACCACUCCAAAACAAUAGUCACACACACUCCCCGAAGUGUCUCGUGUUCACCCGAAGUGGGUUCGAAGUGAUGACCACUCCUGACGACCUCAACAUAGCGUGGUGCAAGAUGAAGAGUAGAUCCACUGAAGCAACCGAAGUGUCCCUCAACUCCGAAGCAUUGAAGGAUCCGAGGCACUCCUUUAACAGAUCCCUCCGCCGCCACUGUCAGAAAGAUAUCCGUCAGGAUCCCUUCUGCCUCUAGAGAUCAAUUGAUGUGAUAUCUUCAUAGGUCUAGUUGAUGUGACAUAUCGAUUUUAUGUCAACUCAACUCAGAAAAACUAAUUGCCCGCCCACUCUAGACACGACUGAUUGACGCCUACGAACAGACGCCUCACACAGUCAGAUGCCUACACGUGUCUCACAUCCAACGAUGCUCUACAUCUAUAAAUAUCCAAGAUUUGGUAAGAGAAAAAGGUAAUGAAACUCUUAUAACUUAAAUCUCCAUACUAAGAAAUAUAUUCUCCUCCCCACUCUCUCGUAUAACUUGAGCACUGGUCCGAUCACCCAACGCUAACUUGACCGUUGGGGUGUAUGCGGCCGCCACCGCUGGUUUUGGCCGUGUGCUUUUGAUCAUCCAUUAUUGUGCGCAGGAAAGAUUACGUGGAGUAUUUAUUCAUUGGCCACGUAGAGGGUCCAAUUCUCGAGUUUAACAGCCACCUCUACACAAUGGUGGGACCAUGCUUGCAGUGGAUGCAGAAAAGUCAACAAUGAUAGAACAUAAUUUUCCAUUUUUAUUAAAUAUGUUUUUUUUUUAGUUAGACUCAUUUGCACCUUGAAAAGAAUUGGGAUUCUAGCUACAAUUAUUAUUUUUCUUUUAUUCUUUUUGACUUUAUUUAUUUUAAAGAAGAUAGUAAAUUUAUUAUUUUACAUGACUUUAUGGAGAAAAAUAAUGAAAAUAUUGUAUUCCACAAAUUUUGGAUGAUUUAGAAAAAUUUUAUACCAAAAAUGAAAGGUCAGAAGAGCAUUGCGCCAAGAUGAAAGGCUUAGAGAAUAUUCCGAGAAUAGUUAACGUUCGAAGAUAUUUUGCCAAUUACCUUUAUAUUAUUGGCAUUCUUUACUCUCUUUAACGUCUAAAUUAAUAAAAUUGGACAGUAGAAUACAUAGUAAUUAAAAUCAGACCGAACCGGAUAGUGGUCCGGUCCACUUUCAUUUAUUGAUCAAAGGAAGCAUAGCAUUUGGAAAUUGAUGAUCCUUUGUCAUAUAGUGUUAGUAAAAUGUAUAUAUUUAGCAAAAAUGAUUUUCUUUUUAUUUCAUAAAUAUAAUUUAAUUAAAAUUAAAAUCUAACAAUGAUCCAUCGAUUGAACCGUUGAUCCACCGGUUAUACAAUUGGCUCGUUGACUUUUUCAGGUCCACUAUCUGGUCGAUUCUAAAUAUCUAAUAACUAUGUUAGGAGAUCUUGCGUGUGAAAAAAGUCAUCUAGUAGAUAUUUUGUCGAAAUAAAAAGAUAGAGAAAUAGGUGAUAGGAGGGUUGCACCAAUUACGCUCAAUAUUAUUAUUAGUAAGAAAAGUGAGGCUCAGAUCUGUUUUUAAAUCAAGCAAGGGGGCGAUCGCGUCCUGACUGUAAAAUCACCAGCUACAGACGAGAAAGAAGAUAACCUCAACUCAGAUGCCACCUGGGUCGCCCCGCCAAUGUAUGGAUCAUCUUACUACCCGCUCGAUUAAUCAUAGAUAAUACGCUUUCUUCAAUUUUUUAUUUUAUUUUACUUUUUUUUCUUAAGCCAACUUUUUUAAAGGAAAUAUAUUGUCGGAAAAGAAAUAAGGGCCUGUUUGAUAUGAGAUAUUUUCCAUGGAAAAUGGAAAAUGUUUUCCAACUUCCAACAUUUCUGUAUGGAGGCAAUAAAAAUAAAAAUAAAAAUAAAAAUCAUACUAAAAUAACUAGGAAUUAAUUAAAAUCUAUUAAUACUAAAAUAUUAAAUAAGAACAUAGAUGGAAGAAACAAUUUUUAUGAAGUGUGAACAAGGGCAAAAUUUGGCAAAUUCCAAAUUAUUAUAUUUGGUGUAAAUGAAUACUAUUACACCAUUAUACUAUCUCUCACACUAUAUAUUUGGUAUAUUGGAGAUGCUCUAAUAUACGUCGAAGUUUGAGAAAAGUUGUCACUUUAAUCUUGUUUUAUCUCUAAUAUUUUCGAAAUACUUUUUUUUUUCAAUAUCAUAUUAUUUUAAAUAAAUUAAUAUUACAUGCAAAUUCAAAUUUGUUCUUAUUUUUUAACCACAUAUUAUUCAUCAAUCUAUUAUUCCAAAAUGCAUUCUUAAUUAAAAAAAAAAAUAAUACUCAAAUAAACGUUAAUGUUUAUUGCUCGAACGUCUGCUCCAAGUACCUUUUUUUUUUUUUUUUUGUUAUUGUUCCUAUUUUUAANNNNNNNNNNNNNNNNNNNNNNNNNNNNNNNNNNNNNNNNNNNNNNNNNNNNNNNNNNNNNNNNNNNNNNNNNNNNNAUUAAAAAAAAAAAAAAAAAAAAAAAAGGGCAGUUGAAUUAUUUCUCGAAUUUUGAUUUAAUAUCUUUUGCAUUUUUUUUUCCUUUACAAUUCAAAUUUAAAUAAGAUGUAAAAUAACAUCUAACCCCCUCCCCCUACCGACGAUUAAAUAUUCCUUUUUGGGUUUUUUUUUUUUUUUAAUAUUCCUUUUUGGGUUAGUGAAGUAUUUAGCUCUAUGUAAAUAAUUCAUGUUGCUACUCUUUUAUUUAUGAUUUUAUGAACUUAAGCUCAACCAAGAAGUUCGAGUCUGGAUCGGUGCAUCAUAAUUUGUUAUGUUGAUGCUAAUCAAAUUGUCGUUUGAGAUCCAACCUAGACAAUAGAAACCCCCACAAGUACAAGCUGAACUUAAUCCAACAAUACAAGAAUCAGUUUUGUUACACUCGCAAUAUGGUUAUCAAUUUUAUUUACGCUCUUUGACAAGACAAACAAUUUUAUCAUUGAUUUUAAGGACGCUUAAUCAAAUCAAUGAUUUCGAUUUUGAGACCUCGACGGUGUACAAUUAGCUUAAGUCUAUAAGAAUUUACACACGACGACUCUCAAAAUUACUUCUUGAGAACAAAAAUGAAAUUACGAGUAAACAUGAAACUUUUCUAAUGGUUAAAAACGUAGUUGGUCACUAAACAUCAAAUAAUUUUUGUUGGGUGUGGAAAAUUAGAAAAAAAUAAAUAAAUAAAAUAAAAUGGGAACACACUAGAAAUUAUUCUCCUAAAAAGACAUUCUUUGACUUAUUUUUAGCAUGGGAUAAAAGUGUAAAUUAAACAUAAGAUAAUAUUAAAUUAAAAGUAUGCAGGGAUGGCAGGAAGUUGAGGCUCAGAUCAGAUCUAUUGGAUUGAAGAGGCAAGGAGAAUAUGACCGCGCCAUGGCUGCAUAAUCACCGGUGGCAUAAAAUCAGAUGCCAUCCCGGUUGCCCCGCCAAGAUACGGGUCAGUUAAUCUCAAGGCCCGAUUCAUCAGCUCAGAAGAAUCAAAAUCAUCGUCAUAGCCUCUGCAAAAUCAGAUCGAUACAGUUACGGAACUCUCUCGCUGAUAUAUAGAGAGAUCUCCGCUCUCUCAGUGUGUGUGUAUGUAUGUAGUAUGAAUUAUGGUGGAAUCGAAUCCAAGAACAAAAGGGUAAUUAUAUAUAUUUCCGCUUGCAUCAGAUAACAUUGGCUGUUUCUAAUUUCUCAAGGGCUGUUGAUAUUUACAGGAUGGAAAUCAUCGGUUUCACAGAGAGGGGCAACCACCCUUAAAGAAUUCCCAGUCUCUCUGUAAACCUCAUUCUUCACUCCCAAGCACCUAGCCCUGGAUUCUGGUUUACCUCUUAAUUUAUAGUACAGCGCUGUUCCCAAUUUAUCCCUUCUUUGUGUUCCAUUUUGCAGACCAGGAGAAUACUUGGGUUAGCGGGGAAAAGGAUAUAGUGGUGAUUUCGCAUGUACCACAACUUUUGUUAGCACUAGACACACUUCUCCACUUCACGGCAAAAGAUGUGAAGUUGAAUUAUUUGACUAAGGCUCCUGUUUGACAAUGAUAAGCAAAAAAAAGUUACUUUUUUCUCAAACUCAUUUCAAUUACACAUUCUCGUUGCUCUACAAACAAAUAUAAUAAUAUUUUCUUACUUUUCAACCAUGCAUUCUCUAAAAAAUCACUAUUUCAAAACUAAUUUUCUUCAAAAAAUUUAUUUUAAUGAUUUUCAAACGGAGGCUUAAUUUUAAAUUGCCUUUAAUCGUUCAAAUUUUCUAGAUUUUAGAGGAAGUCACAAAAUCAGUUACCUUUAAAACCCCUUCUAAGUCGAAGAUUUACAUUCAUAAAAUUAGUCAUACACGUUCAAAAAUUGAUUUUAAGUAUCAAAAGCUCUUCUUGAGUUUCAAAAGCCAUGCCAAAUUGGCACAUUUGAGAUAAUAGUGCUCAAAGAAGAUAAAAGCAUAUCUAAUGGUGAUGUAAAAUUAGGUAUGAAUUGGUAUCUUCAACAUUACUUUUGCAUUCCAUUGAAGCUAAAUCCAAAUUAUGCUUCAUUGUGAAUACCUAAAUACAUUUUUUUUGCCUCUUGUGGAUGUAAAUUAACAAUUUUUAUAUUUUCGAUCGAGACUAAGGCUGGAUAAAACUUUCGAACCAAACCUGAACUGAAUCGAAUGGAAUCGAACUACGCAGUUCUUCUUAUGUUAAAUACCCGAACGGGUUGUCUCGAUGACUAAAGUGCAUAACGUUGUCUCGACUCUCACAGCCUCGCCGACAUUCCAAAACCUAUACAAUCGUCGGCUGACGCUGUAACCUCCGAUCGAAGCUAUGACCUCCACCGACCGAAACUUUGAUCGUAGCAAUCAUUUGAACAAGGUAGUUUACUAAUCUCUGACAUUCCAAAACUAUUGAAUGUGUCAUUAGUUGUAUUUAUAUAAUGUUGUUAUAAAUGUUAAAAAAUUUAAUUAUAGUACGGAACCGAACGAAAUCGAACCCGAACGGUUCCAUAAUUAUAUUUGGACCCGACGGUUUCAUUUACUAGAUACCCGAAAAUUUUGGUUCGGUUCGGUUCUCUUUAGAAUCGAACCAAACCGACCCACGCCCACCUCUAGUGAAAACCCAACCCACAUGCCAUCCGAGUUGCCCUGCCAAGAUACGAAUCGUCUCACUCCCCAAAUUCAUCAGCUCAGAGGAAUAAAGACGAUCAUCAUCACAGCCUCAUAAAACUUAGCCUACGUUUCACAGCCUCUUGAAACUUCAAAAAAAAGCAGAGUUUUAUUAUAAUGGAUGUCAAACAGGGACUUAGCUUAUGUUUGGAAACUGUUUAUAAAUACUCAACCACUUUUUAGCUUCGCCAAACAAGUACCCAGUUUCGAUAACCAGCAGAGUAUGUAUCAGCAAGAAAGAACCAUAGAAAGAUCAACUGGAAUUCCCAGUCUUUGGUAUUUUUGUAAGUAGUGUAUCUAUAGAUACAAUCCAUAGAUACACGUACAAAAUUAAGGGUUGUUGGUGUUUGAUAUUGGUUAAAUAAAUUGAGAAUUGAAAAUCGAUUAAAGUUCGUAUCAAAUUCGGCCAAAUACUCAAAAGCUCGACUCAAUCCGUUUAGACAAAAUUGUUUGCCACUUCGCCGCUUUGGGGCGCACAAACGGGUAUAUUUCUCUGCAUGUAUUGAAGGGUAUAUUUGGCAUUUCGAAAAUCAAUAUCGGAUGAAUGAGAAAUUACGAAAAAGGCCUCAACCAUUAGUGAAUAGACACCUUUUCAUAAAGGUGCAUUGUGUGGAAAGGGUGCAUGGUUUGGCCUCAACCAUUUCGUCCACACCCCUUCAUGGUCUAUAAAUAGGACCCUUUGGGUGUCCUAUUCCUCACAGUUUGAUAUGCAAAAACGUCUCUCAUCCUCUCUUCUAUCCAAAAUCAAAAUCAUUUCAUUUAUUUUGAUUUUCUUUCAUUUCAUCCUUGGAGUACAUAAGCCUACAUUUGGUUCGUUGUACUUGUGUUUUGGAGUGCUACAAACACAAGUGUAGCCGUUGUAUCUUGGGAGUCGAUUGUCGAAAUCCGUAGGCACCGUUGCGGGGCAAAUUCGACUUAAGGACAAAGAGUCCAACUCUUGCCUCGGCUUUGUCACCAUCAUUAUACUUAUUUCGGCGUCACUAUUCACAAAAUUCUUCCAACAAUCUUAAGUCGAUUUUGUAUAUAUAUUUUGUGAAAGUGACAUUCUUGUUUGGUUAAACUUGUUAAGUUUAACUUCUUCUUCACUUCUAUUUUUGGUUGAUCUUCUGUUUUACGUAAACAGAAAUGAAUACGGUUUUUAAUACCGAUACUACUUCGAAUGAAACUUCAAACAUGGGAACUUCUGAAGGAAGUGUUCCUACCGGUGUGAUUCCUCCCGUUGUGAAUACAACUACUGCUCCGAUUGUGGGUGCCCCUACUAUCGUACAUUCAAACUCCGUUUCACAUGGGGAAAAGCCGGAGAAAUUUGUUGGGGUUGAUUUCAAAAGGUGGCAACAGAAAAUGUUGUUUUAUCUCACAACCCUCAACUUGGCGAAAUUCUUGAAUGAAGAUCCUCCCGCCAUACAAGAAGGGGAAAACAAUAGGGCAUCUUUGAUUGCUUUGGAUGCAUGAAAACAUUCGGAUUUUCUAUGCAAAAAUUACAUUCUUAAUGGCUUGGACAACGCCUUAUACGGUGUAUAUUGCUACAAGAAAUCUGCAAAGGAACUAUGGGAGUCCUUGGAAAAGAAGUACAAGACCGAAGAUGCCGGAAUCAAGAAGUUCAUUGUGGGAAAAUUCUUGGACUACAAAAUGGUAGAUUCGAAGACCGUCAUCAGUCAAGUGCAAGAAUUGCAAGUCAUACUCCAUGACAUUCAUGCGGAAAAUAUGUCCGUGAGCGAAUCAUUUCAAGUGGCUGCAAUUAUCGAGAAACUUCCACCCAUGUGGAGGGACUUCAAAAACUAUCUCAAGCACAAGCGCAAGGACAUGAACAUUGAAGAACUUGUGGUCCGAUUGAGGAUUGAAGAAGACAACCGAANNNNNNNNNNNNNNNNNNNNNNNNNNNNNNNNNNNNNNNNNNNNNNNNNNNNNNNNNNNNNNNNNNNNNNNNNNNNNNNNNNNNNNNNNNNNNNNNNNNNNNNNNNNNNNNNNNNNNNNNNNNNNNNNNNNNNNNNNNNNNNNNNNNNNNNNNNNNNNNNNNNNNNNNNNNNNNNNNNNNNNNNNNNNNNNNNNNNNNNNNNNNNNNNNNNNNNNNNNNNNNNNNNNNNNNNNNNNNNNNNNNNNNNNNNNNNNNNNNNNNNNNNNNNNNNNNNNNNNNNNNNNNNNNNNNNNNNNNNNNNNNNNNNNNNNNNNNNNNNNNNNNNNNNNNNNNNNNNNNNNNNNNNNNNNNNNNNNNNNNNNNNNNNNNNNNNNNNNNNNNNNNNNNNNNNNNNNNNNNNNNNNNNNNNNNNNNNNNNNNNNNNNNNNNNNNNNNNNNNNNNNNNNNNNNNNNNNNNNNNNNNNNNNNNNNNNNNNNNNNNNNNNNNNNNNNNNNNNNNNNNNNNNNNNNNNNNNNNNNNNNNNNNNNNNNNNNNNNNNNNNNNNNNNNNNNNNNNNNNNNNNNNNNNNNNNNNNNNNNNNNNNNNNNNNNNNNNNNNNNNNNNNNNNNNNNNNNNNNNNNNNNNNNNNNNNNNNNNNNNNNNNNNNNNNNNNNNNNNNNNNNNNNNNNNNNNNNNNNNNNNNNNNNNNNNNNNNNNNNNNNNNNNNNNNNNNNNNNNNNNNNNNNNNNNNNNNNNNNNNNNNNNNNNNNNNNNNNNNNNNNNNNNNNNNNNNNNNNNNNNNNNNNNNNNNNNNNNNNNNNNNNNNNNNNNNNNNNNNNNNNNNNNNNNNNNNNNNNNNNNNNNNNNNNNNNNNNNNNNNNNNNNNNNNNNNNNNNNNNNNNNNNNNNNNNNNNNNNNNNNNNNNNNNNNNNNNNNNNNNNNNNNNNNNNNNNNNNNNNNNNNNNNNNNNNNNNNNNNNNNNNNNNNNNNNNNNNNNNNNNNNNNNNNNNNNNNNNNNNNNNNNNNNNNNNNNNNNNNNNNNNNNNNNNNNNNNNNNNNNNNNNNNNNNNNNNNNNNNNNNNNNNNNNNNNNNNNNNNNNNNNNNNNNNNNNNNNNNNNNNNNNNNNNNNNNNNNNNNNNNNNNNNNNNNNNNNNNNNNNNNNNNNNNNNNNNNNNNNNNNNNNNNNNNNNNNNNNNNNNNNNNNNNNNNNNNNNNNNNNNNNNNNNNNNNNNNNNNNNNNNNNNNNNNNNNNNNNNNNNNNNNNNNNNNNNNNNNNNNNNNNNNNNNNNNNNNNNNNNNNNNNNNNNNNNNNNNNNNNNNNNNNNNNNNNNNNNNNNNNNNNNNNNNNNNNNNNNNNNNNNNNNNNNNNNNNNNNNNNNNNNNNNNNNNNNNNNNNNNNNNNNNNNNNNNNNNNNNNNNNNAAAGUGUGGGGGUGCUUAGCGAAAGUACAAAUACCUAAACCUAAACAAGUUAGGAUUGGACCAAAGACAAUUGAUUGUGUCUUUAUUGGAUAUGCUAUCAAUAGUAGUGCAUAUCGAUUCUUGGUUCACAAAUCCGAAGUACUUGAUGUACACGUAGGUACAAUUAUUGAAUCAAGAAAUGCGGUCUUCUUUGAAGACAGUUUUCCGUGUAAAGAAAAGGAAGUAAGUUCAAAUAAACGAACUUAUGAUAACAUACAUGGAAAGAAUGAUGAUCUUCAAGUAAAUGAAGAACCGAGACGUAGUAAAAGGCAACGAAUUCCAAAGACAUUUGGUCCAGAAUUCGUAACCAAUUUACUUGAAAAUGAUCCUAGGACAUUUGAUGAAGCAAUGUCCUGUCCCGAAGCUCCUUUUUGGAAAGAAGCUGUACACAAUGAAAUUGAAUCCAUCAUGAGUAACCAUACUUGGGAAUUGGUUGAACUCCCUCCGGGAAACAAAGCUUUAGGCUAUAAAUGGAUCUUCAAAAAGAAAUUGAAGACGGAUGGAUCAAUUGAUAAAUACAAGGCUAGAUUAGUAGCCAAAGGGUAUAGACAAAAAGAAGGACUAGAUUUCUUUGAUACCUAUUCACCCGUUACAAGAAUUACGUCUAUACGUGUCUUGAUUGCAAUCGCAGCAUUGCAUAAUCUUGAAAUACAUCAAAUGGAUGUCAAAACCGCGUUUCUAAAUGGUGAAUUAGAAGAAGAAAUCUACAUGGAACAACCUGAAGGGUUUGUUGCACCAGGAAAUGAAAAGAAGGUGUGUAGANNNNNNNNNNNNNNNNNNNNNNNNNNNNNNNNNNNNNNNNNNNNNNNNNNNNNNNNNNNNNNNNNNNNNNNNNNNNNNNNNNNNNNNNNNNNNNNNNNNNNNNNNNNNNNNNNNNNNNNNNNNNNNNNNNNNNNNNNNNNNNNNNNNNNNNNNNNNNNNNNNNNNNNNNNNNNNNNNNNNNNNNNNNNNNNNNNNNNNNNNNNNNNNNNNNNNNNNNNNNNNNNNNNNNNNNNNNNNNNNNNNNNNNNNNNNNNNNNNNNNNNNNNNNNNNNNNUGCACAAGACCGGAUAUAGCAUACAUAGUCAACAAGUUGAGUAGAUUCACUAGUAAUCCAAGUGUUGUACAUUGGAAGGCUUUAAACCGAGUUCUUAGAUAUUUAAGACACACGGUUGAAUAUGGAUUACACUACUCAAAAUAUCCUGUGGUAUUAGAAGGAUAUACUGAUGCAAAUUGGAUAUCUAACACUAAGGAUUCAAAAUCCACGAGUGGUUAUGUAUUUACCAUUGGAGGUGGAGCCGUGUCCUGGAAAUCGUCUAAGCAAACAUGUAUUGCUCGAUCCACAAUGGAAUCUGAGUUUAUUGCGUUAGACAAAGCCGGUGAAGAAGCAGAAUGGCUUCGUAAUUUUCUUGAAGAAAUUCCAUGUUGGGAAAAGCCGGUUUCUGCGAUUAAUAUACAUUGCGAUAAUCAGUCGGCAAUAGCAAGGGCACAGAACAGUAUGUAUAAUGGUAAGUCUCGACAUAUCCGUCGGAGACAUAAUACCAUUAAACAGUUAAUAUCGAAUGGUAUAAUCUCUAUUAACUAUGUGAAGUCAAAAGAAAAUUUGGCUGGUCCUUUGACGAAAGGACUUGCAAGAGAUCAAGUAUACCAUCUUUCGAGGGGAAUGGGCCUAAAGCCUAUUGAAUAGAAUUACUAUGACGGAAACCCAACCUUGUAGAUUGGAGAUCCCAAGAUCUUGGUUCAAUGGGACAACUAAGUCAUAAAUGAUUCGGAAUAAAGCACUUAUUCCCAUUCCUAAAAUUUAAAGUGCUAUGUAAAAUGUGUAUAAGGAUAAGUAUACAUAUAUACUUUUAAUGAUUCAUAACCUUGAGAUAGAAAGGUAUGAGAUCACCUAUAUAAGUGUGAAAUGGGGCCGUUUCUACGAGAAUUCGAGGCUUAAUUCUCUUAGAGCACUUAUGAAACCAAGAGUUGUCCAGGGCCAAAAUGGACUCAACCAUGAAAACCGAAUAGGUUAGAUGAGUCAUGGUGUUGGUACAGUUGUUUGGUUUUACACGAACGGCUGGAUGAUUCAAGAUAUCGCGUUCACCAACUAGCCUAGUAAAUUCGAUUGUAUUCAACUAAAGAAGGUUCAAGGCCACAAGCUACCUAUCUUGAUGCUACGACUUGUCGUGUGUACUCCGUUUGUUAGAGUCUGCAAUUCAUUUUCAUUGCAUUCGCUUUGUGUUGCGCAUAUCGAGGAAUUUCCAUUCAUGUGGGGGAUUGUUGGAUAUUGGUUAAAUAAAUUGAGAAUUGAAAAUCGAUUAAAGUUCGUAUCAAAUUCGGCCAAAUACUCAAAAGCUCGACUCAAUUCGUUUAGGCAAAAUUGUUUGCCAAUUCGCCGCUUCGGGGCGCACAAACGGGGAUCGACCUGCCCGGUCAGGUCGCGAGGGUCGAGGGGGCAGAGCCCCUCAUGGGGGGGUCGGGGGCAUUAUACUUAUUUCGGCGUCACUAUUCACAAAAUUCUUCCAACAGUUGGUUUUGGGUUAAAAGAGCAAAUCAUUGGGUAAAAGGAAGGGGCAACCACCCUUGAGAAACUCCCAAUCUCCCUUACCCUCAUUCAUUCCAUCUGAGUUCCUGGCCCUAAUUUCAUCAGUCAAGCUUUUUAGUUCAUUCUUAAGUGGUCUAAUAAGUGGAAAUAAUUAUUUUAACAUGUGUUUAACCGAGGCAAUUUCUUAUCAAAUGCCUAUAUCACUCCGUCGACUUUUUGCUAAUGUGCCGAUUUUUUGUGCCCCUACAAAUUCUAGAAAUUUAUGAAUUAAAUUUAAAACUUACAUGAUAGAAGAUUUUUUACAUACAAGUCGGACAAAGUAUCAUGCUGAGAUUAGAGCACUACGUUGUAUAAAUUCAUUUUUAGAAGUUGUUAUUUAUAUUGCAUCCAAUCUCCUCUUUUACCCUCAUUUCACUACCUAUUUACCCUUAGUGACUUCACGUGGUUUGACAAUUUAAGGGUACUAUAGCAAUUCUCGUAAAAUUAUCGGUAUUUGGGGAUGGAUCUGGAUCCAACCUGUAAAAGUAAUUUUUCUUUUGGAGCUUUGUUAUUGUACAUCCGGAGUUGACAACCCGAAUGACACCCCCACACAAUAGGAGGGCCCACACGUAAUAACAUAAUUUUUUUAUGCAUGUAACAAAGUGGGUCUAUAUAGUGUGUCGUUGCAGCUAUAUAUGCUUUUUUAUUAACCCCCUUCCCAUAUAUCAGAAGUUAAAAAUAUAACACCCCCAUAUUGUUACAAAUUCAUAAUUAAUUGUUAUUUUGAAUUAUUGAAAUAUUAUAUUGUAUCGGCACGAAGAGUGUUUCGACUUACCCCAACGUGCCUUGCUUGCAGAUAUUUUUUCACGAACGACACGAAGUGUUGGUUGUCUGUAAUAGCCAGCGGCAACUCAGUGGCGACAACAAAUUUCACGAUUCCAGUUCGAGUAUUGUCCUCCGAAUACACCCACGUGGAUAGAGGUGAAGUCGUAGAACCGACACCCGGAUUGCCAAAUUGCAAUUGUGUUUGACCGGUUGGAAGAAGUAUAUGUCUGGCGGCACAUGCUUUGUAGUAGAGGUUGAGAUGGGUGGUACCAAAUCGUUUUUGCUAUGCCAAUCUUUGUUGGCUGUAUUUAUAUACUGCCUUAGACUCUACAAGGCCAUUGACGAUUUUUCCCGUUGAAAUCAAUUUAAAGUGAUCUUAACAUUUUCUUUGUUUUUUGCGCUUUCGCUUUCCCCUCGCAUCUAGGAUGUUUAAUUCGGUAUCUUCGUCCUCAUGUUCCGUUUCGAGAACAUUAAUAUCAUCCAAAUCAAUUGGAUUAUGGCUUCCAUGAACGUGAAUGUGAACAUCUUCAGGUAUAGGUAUGUCAUUUAGAUCGACAAAUUCAUUUGAAAAUUGACUUUACAGCGUCCUAGGCGAUUCACUAUGUGGCCCACAUCCCGUAUCGAAUAAGCUCUGAACAAAUGAGCAUUGAUCCAUUUAUUUGAUUGUUUAUGGUGAAAUCUAAAUAUAAUAACUAGACAAAUAUAAAUGUAAUGAAAAUUGAGAAUUGGAUGAAUUGAAAUUGUAACUGAAUAAAAUAUAAAAAAUGAAUCGAUAUUAUAUAUUUUGCAGCUCAAGAGAGUAAAAACUAGAUAAUUGAUAUAAUAAAAGAGUUGAGAAAUGAGAAGUAGUGAUUGAGGAUAUAAUUGAUAUGAAGAAAAAAAGGAAUUAAGGAGUAUUUAUAAUAUAAGGAAAAAAAAUAUCAGGACCGUUCGAUCACUGAAACAGUGACCAAAAUGGUCACCGCUCGACUCAUGGCUUAUUAAAACGAGUCGAGCCCACGAGCCGAAAGGGCUCGGCUCGCCUCCCGACGAGGCCUGCUUGGCUCGCGCUCGCGCUUGUGAUUUUACGAGCCCGAGCCACCCAUGAGCCCUAUUUCGAUGAGCCGAGCUUGUGUGACAUGAUGAUCGCCUCAACAUUUCAUUUAACAUUUAGAUGAAUUUAACUGCCAUGUAAGAUUUUCGUCGUCCAUGUAGGUGGAAAGAGAAAUGGAAUCCAUUCAAUAAGUGAUGAAAUAGGACAGACCAAAGUCGAGUGACCAUUGGGGGGUUUAGUAGAGUUCGAUAAGUAAGUUAUGACAUAACCCAAAGUUCAGUGGCUAUUCAAAUAUUUAACUCGGUAAUAUUCACAACCAAGGGCAUGUUUGGCCCCCCAAACAUAUUUGUUAAGAGUUUUUAUUGGGGAUAGUGAAAUAAAUUAUUAAAGACCUUACUAUAUAUACAUCAAAACUUACAUAAGGAAUUACAUAAUACUCGCAUGACACUCUACUAUUUGUAAGUUUAAAAUGCAAUCAACUACUUCAUUCAAUUUUUUUUCUCUACAUUAUUUUUGAUAAUCGCUCAUAUACCAUUUUUAUUUGAAAUUUUUAUAUUCAAAUAGCAAAAUCCAAUUAUUAAUUAGGAGUUUGGUUACCCCCACGUGCCACCAUCGCAACACAAUUAGCUUGUAAAUUAGUGUUAAAUCUUUAAAUUAAUAAAUUUCAUUGUGCUUUGGAAUCUGGAUUAUUCACUUGAGGAACACGAGAAAUUGACUAGUCUCUACAGAACUAAUUUUGAAAUAUUUUAACCAGAUUUUCUUUCCCCUCAAAAUAAAUAAAUUAAAUUACUGAAUCUAUAAGAAAUUGGAAAAAAGAGGAAGCAACAAUAAAAAUAAAAAUAAAAAAUUAUGCAGUGAAAGAAAUUGAGGCUCAGAUCUCUGUCUUAUAAAUUAUAAUCAGACAAGGAGACUAUAACCCCGCCAAGGCUGCAAAAUCUCCGGUUGCCCCGCCAAGAUAUGGGCCAUUUCGUCUCAAAGUCCGAUUCAUCAGCUCAGAAGAAUCAGGAAUCAUCGUCACAGCCCCUAUGCGUAAACGCAGAUGUAUGUGUGUGGAAGAUAUUAAUAGGAAUCUGUUAGUCAACAGCCAACAGGAAAAUAUUAAUCGCUGUUUCUUGAUCUGAAGGGCUGUUAAUUUUCGUUGUGAAUCAUUGGCUUAACAGAGAGGGGUAACCACCCUUAAAAGAAUUCCCAAUCUCUCUGCUAACCUCAUUCAUCUUCCCUUCCAAGCUGAUAACCCUAAAUUUGGCUUUGGGUCUUCAUUUAUACUAGCAUGAAUGUUCCUAUUUUACCCUUUCAAGUAGAACUCUUGGGUGGACACCACCAGUAGUAGUUUAGAGGUUUUUUUUGCAUGUUUGAUGUAGAUUUUUCACCUCAAAUUUUUAAUUUUUUUAAUCGUUAUUUUAGUAUUUCAAUCGUCAUUUUUUAUUUAUUUUCUUAUAAGUAAGACUCAUUUUUCUCUCUAAAAGUAAAAAAAUCAAUUCUCAUAAUUACCAUCGAACAAGCCCUUAAUUUGGAACCUUGCUAUAUAUAUCAAAUUUUAUAUAAUGCGUAUCAUAAUGUCAUGUGAUAUUUUAUCAUUGUGCAAUUUAUAAUACAGUCAACUUUUUCAUAAAAUCAUUUCAUUACACAUCAUUUUCUAACGCAACUUUUCUAGAUGUCAUUUUCUAAACAAAUAGCAAAAUACUCGUACACCAAAAUUAGAACACGAUUUACUUUAUGUUGUUGAAGUGUGUAGAAUUAGUGGAGCUUGUAUACAUAUAGAAUUGAGUCGAGAAAAAUUGAUAAAUACUUCUGAAUCUUACGAAAUGCAUAAUUUUGAUAAAAAUAUUUAUAAUUUAAAGUGUUUAUAGACCUUCCUAAACAUAAGUUAAGUUUCUAUGAAAGAGUGUAAUGAAAAGCAUAUGAAAGAACUGUUGAUUUGAGAGGAUGUUAAGAUAUCUAACCAACAAAAAUGCUACGUGUACAGAAGGACGCCUUACGAAAUCCCUCUAGACACUUAAAUGGGUGGAUUUCAUGGUGUAAUAAAAAAAUGUCAAAAAAAUACCCACCCCACACUAUGUGAGUAUUCUGUGACAUCUCUGUCAAUUAAAUUUCUAUACACAUGACAUUGUUGAUCUAAUCAAACAUAAAUUUUAUCUAGGAUCAAUAACUAAUAUUUGUUUAUUAUUUACAAUUUCGCAGGACUUAAAAAUUAUAACAACUUGCCAAUCAUUAAUCUAUUGCUAUUUUAGGUAAAGAUAAUAGUACUUUAGGAACCCCUGUUGUAAUUUUAUAAAAAUAGAAAUGACUCUUUUAAUAACAUGUCAUUGAAAAAAUAGUGAAAAAUUCUUAGACCCUAUUUAAAUCACAUUCUUUUAAAAAAUAUAUAUUUUUAAACAGUAAUUUGAUAUCAUUACACUCACAUAUUUUUGAAUCAAAUAUUAUUAUACAAAAAUUUAAAGCUUUUUAUCAUUUUAGUUACACAUUCUCUAUCAAUCUACUAUUUCAAAAUACAUUUAAAAAUAAAUUUUCAGAAAAUUUAUGCCAUAAAGGAUUCUAUUUUCCUUGCAAAAUUUGCCAUUUUUAAUUUUGACUGUUUUCUAUGAAGUUAGAAGCUAGUGCUUAAAGCUGGGCCGUGCUAUAUGGUCAGGGCGCAACUAUCUAACCGAAAGUUGCUACAGUUCCAAGAUUAAAAAAAUAUAUAUGGUAAAAAACAUGGACACCACUGAUCGAAAAGCAAUUGGACAGUUUAAAAUUUUUUAAAAAGCAAUUCGAGUUGUGCUACACUUAACAUUCACACCGAUCAUUUCAAAAACGAAUUUUUAAAUCAUUUGAUAUCAAUGAUCUGAAUUUUGUCAACACAUUUUUUGUUAAGGAACUUUGUAGACGUAGAAUUAUUGCAUUCAAAAACACCCAAAUCAGCCUUGCUUCCUGACCUCAACCCUGUCCAAGGAGUUUAAUUGUAUAUUCUUAUGUUUUUCUCAGAUAAAUGUGAAAUCACUUGACCCAAAACCAGAAAAAUAAAAAUAAUAAUAAAUCAACUCCGAAUCUACUCUUCUUAAGUACCCAUUUAAUUAACUAAGCACACUAAAAGAUUUUACAUUAGUUUCUGAAAACAAAAGGAAAUUGAGGCUCAGAUCUGUGUUCAAUUCAGGCAAGAGGGACGAUCACGCCAUGGCUGCAAAAUCACCGGUUGCGUGUGAGAGGAAAGGGGGAAAACCCAACCCACAUGCCAUCCGGGUUGCCCUGCCAAGAUACGAAUCGUCUCACUGCCCAAAUUCAUCAGCUCAGAGGAAUAAAGACAAUCAUCAUCACAGCCUCAUAAAACUUUGCCUACGUUUCACAGCCUCGUGAAACUUCAGAAAAAAAACAGAGUUUUAUUAUAAUGGAUGUCAAACAGGGACUUAGCUUAUGUUUGCAAACUGUUUAUAAACGCUCAACAACUUUUGAGCUUCGCCAAACAAGUACCCAGUUUCGAUAGCCAGCAGAAGAAGCAGAAUAUGUAUCAGCAAGAAAGAACCAUAGAAAGAUCAACUGGAAUUCCCAGUCUUUUGGUAUUUUUGUAAGUUGUGUAUCUAUAAUCCAUAGAUACACAUACAAAAUCAAGGGUUGUUGGUUUUGGGUUAAAAGAGGAAAUCAUUGGGUAAAAGGAAAGGGCAACCACCCUUGAGAAACUCCCAAUCUCCCUUUACCCUCAUUCUUUCCAUCUGAGCUCCU
rnacentral:lncRNA from 1 species